AUCUGGCACAAGAAGUUAUCCAGGUUUGGAAUAUCUUUGAGUUUGCGGCAGUCUUUCAGUUGCAAGGCAAUCAUUUCCGACAUCUCUGGAAGGUUGGGCAUAAUUUCCAGUUCAGUGCAGUAAUUCGCUUCCAGUCUACGCAAACUUGUCGGCAAAUCUAGGAUUGCCUGAAGGUUUGUGCAAUGAUUUAGAUACAAACAUAUAAGCUGGGAAAGGCCACUGAGGAUGGGUAGCCUAUUAAAACCAUUUCCAUCUAGUCUUAAAGUCCCUAAAGAAGGUAGACUCCGAAGGCUUUCAAGAAUGGCAUCAUCCGUUAUAUUGCAGUCUUUAAGAUCUAAAUACUGAAGCAUCUUCAGUUGUGCAAAUAAAUGGUAACCCCCAGACACACCCUUACAGCCGUUGAGGCUCAAAUCCUCGAGAUGUGGGAGUUUUGAAAAGUCUGGUAAUUGAGUCAGGCUACGGGAAUGAUGGAGCAGAAGAAACUUCAACUUCUUCGGCAACUGUUUGGCAAAAAGAUAGAACAAAAUCAUAAUCCAUAUUAGAGAGAGAGAGAGAGAGAGAGGAAAGGAUUAAUAAUUUGGUUGAGGUUACCAAACGCAUAUUAGAGAGAGAGAGAGAGAGAGAGAUAGUUCAAUAAUUUGAUAGAACAAAAUCAAAAUCAUAAUCCAUAUUAGAGAGAGAGAGAGAGAGAGAUAGUUCAAUAUAUUCUUCAUCAGGACAAUGAUUUCCAAACGCAUGCCAACUAAGGAGCUCAAGAGCUUCUUCAUCCGUCAUCGCUUGUGCCUUAUAUUUUUUAUCCACCUUCUGUAUAUUCAAUACUUGUUCAUCUCUUGCUAUUAUAAUAAUCCUACUUCCUGAACCAAACGAGUCAUGUUCUAUUGCCAAUUCAUCUAAUUGGUCCGCAUCAUCUAUGUCAUCAACUACGAUGAGUACCUUCAUGCUUCCAAGUCUUUUCUCUAUCUCCCUGGUCCCUUCGGCAACACUACUUAUUUUAAUGUCAGGCCGUUUCAAAAUAUCUCGAAGAAGUUGUUCUUGCAGACUAACCAUAUUUUUCUUUUUACUCAUCACCUCUUCAAGGUAACAUUGACCACGGAAACUAUGAUGGUAUGUGCUAUAAAUGGCUCUUGCAAGUGUUGUUUUACCUAUGCCGCCCAUACCCCAAAUUCCAAUUAUUUGAACAUCAUGUGAACCUCCAACAUCUAAGUAUUUAGUACUGAAUUCUUCCACGCGAAAAGCUAUUCCAACUGAGUGCUUGGCUUCUUUUAAGUCGCUGGUUUUUAUUAGUCCAAUGAUGUCCCCAACAACUUUCUGGAUAAAUACUCCUUCACGGCUGCCAAUUGGAAAUCCAAAUUAUGCAAACAGAUGAUUAAUCAUGCAACAUCAUGAUUCAUAUGAACUAAAGCUAAUUGUACAAGAUGUUGCAAGCGAUUAAAUUUUGUAAAUGAUACCUGUCUGCAGUGGUUUUAAGAUCCUGGCCAACCAAAUCUGCAGAAGCCUUAAGAUCUUUUCUCCACUGCUCCACCUCAUUUGGGUCUUCAUCCCUUUCAUGCUUCUGAAAUGCUUCCAAAACUACCACUCUGUUUCCUCACUUCAGAAGGGUCAACGUCGUAGAAUAUUGGAUAGACUACUUUCUCCUCUUGAUCUUCUCCGCACCUCAUGAUCUUCGACAGCUCCCUCAGGCACCAUCGGGACUCCGCGUAACUCUUUGAGAAGACGACGACCGCGAUCCUCGACCCUUCGAUUUCUUGGUCAAGUUCUCUCUGUAUAUUCUUCCCCUUUCUGAGCUCGUAGUCUAUAAACGCGUUGAUUCCGGCAUCGCGUAACGCUUUGAAGAGGUGGUCUGUGAACCCAGUGCGUGUGUCCUCGCCUCUAAAGCUCAGGAACACCUCGUACUUCCAGCGGUUUGAACGCCGAGAGGAAGACGAACCGCCGGCGGCGGCGGUUGCAAGGGCGAGGCUGCCGGUAUUCAUUGAUUUCAAGCAAAGAAGUGAAACUCCUGAUCGUUUCAGUCUAAAGAAAACAAUUCUCUCCCAAGAUUCCCAGCGAAACUCCUGAUUAUUGUUUUGGAUCGCUGGAAGAUGUGAGAGCAAAAAAUAAUGAAGAAAGAAGAGGGAGAGAAGAUGCAAGAUGCGGCUUAGUAAGAAAAGAUGGGAGGGAGAAAAUAAUAAGAAAAACUGGGAUUGAAAAGAUAAGGACAAAAUUGGUAAAUGAAUAAUAUCAGGUUUGAUUUUUUAGUGUAAAAAUAUGGUUUUUUCUUAAUGUAAACAGUACCGUGGGCUUUUCGUUAAAACUCCCAUAAUAAUAUGCCCACAUUUGUAGUAAGAAGGCUUUUCUUAAAAGACCUAGCUUCUCUGUCCUCCCACUUUCCAUAUACUCUCAUCCUAUUUGUACAGUUACGGUUAAGCCACGUCAACAUUUUGUAUUACUAUUGUUUUUUAUCUUCUCUAUAAAAAAAUCAAUAUAAAAUGUUGACAUGACUUAAUCGUGAUCGCACAAAAAAGAGAAAAUGAAAGUGUAUGAGAAGUGGAAGAGCAAAGAAGCCGGGUCCUUUCUUUAUGGGUUUGAUUGAUUAAGUCUAAUCUACCAAUAUAUUAUAUUGGGUAAAUUACAUAGCAGCCCAUCAGGUUUGAGGUCUAUUGCAAUCUUAUAAAACAUCUUUAAAACAUUUCACUUUCAUAACUCAAGUACUAUUUUAUUUCAAUUUUAUACAACCAUUACAUUUUCCAUCCAUGAAUCUGUUAAAUGCUGACGUAGCUGCCACAUAUAUGCCAUGUGGCUGCCAAAUGUCUACCAUGUGGCAAAUAAAAUAAUUUUUUAUAUUUUUUAAAAAAACCUGAAAUUGGAAGAAGAAGAAAAAAAAAAGGAUUGAACCCCUGCAACCCAGAAGAAGGAGGAAGAAGAAGAAGAGAAGAAGAAAGAGGAGGAGGAGGAAGAAGAAGAAAAAAAAAAGAAUAAAAAAAGAAAGGACUGAACCCCAUGCAACCUAGACUGACGUAGCUGCCACAUAUAUGCCAUGUGGCUGCCAAAUGUCUACCACGUGGCAAAUAAAAUAAUUUUUUAUAUUUUUUAAAAAAACCUGAAAUUGGAAGAAGAAGAAAAAAAAAAGGACCGAACCCCUGCAACCCAGAAGAAGGAGGAAGAAGAAGAAGAGAAGAAGAAAGAGGAGGAGGAGGAAGAAGAAGAAAAAAAAAAGAAUAAAAAAAGAAAGGACCGAACCCCAUGCAACCCAGAAGAAGAAGGAGGAAGAAGAAGAAGGGAAGAAGAAGAAGAGAAGAAGAAGGAGGGGGAGGAGGAAGAAGAAGAAAAAAAAAGAAAAAAAAAAGAAAUGGACCGAACCCAGAAGAAGAAGGAGGAAGAAGAAGAAGAGAAGAAGAAAGAGGAGGAGGAGGAAGAAGAAGAAGAAGAAAAAAAAAAAAGAAAGGGACCGAACCCAGAAGAAGAAGGAGGAAGAAGAAGAAGAGAAGAAGAAAGAGGAGGAGGAGGAAGAAGAAGAAGAAGAAAAAAAAAAAAAAAGGAUGAUCAAACCCCUUGCAACCUAGAAGGAGGAAGAAAAAGAAGAGAAGAAGAAAGAGGAGGAGGAGGAAGAAGAAGAAGAAGCAAAAAAAAAAAAAAAGGAUGAUCGAACCCAUUGCAACCCAGAAGAAGAAGGAGGAAGAAGAAGAAGAAGAGAAGAAGGAGGAGGAGGAGGAGGAAGAAGAAGAAGAAAAAAAAAAAAAGGAUCGAACCCAGAAGAAGAAGAAGAAAGAGAAGAAGAAGAAGGAAAAAAAAAAAAGAUAUGUGCCAGACAGGUUUUUUCAAAAAAAAAAUAAAAAAUUAUUUUAUUUGCCACGUGGCAGACAUUUGGCAGCCACGUGGCAUAUAUGUGGCAGCCACGCAUUUAACAGAUUCAUGGAUAGAAAAUGUAACGGUUGUAUGAAAUUGAAAUAAAAUAGUACUUGAGGUAUCAAAGUGAAAUAUUUUAAAGAUGUUGUAUAAGAUUGCAAUAGACCUCAAACCUGAAAGACUACUAUGUAAUUUACCCUAUUAUAUUUAAUAGGCCUUAUUGUUCUUAUAGGUAGUCAUUGUCGACGGCAACGCGAGCAUUAUUCAAUCAAAGCAUAUAAUCAGUUUUUAAUUAAGGUGGAUUAGCUGUUCUUAUUGGUUUGAAACAUUCAAACUAUUAAAAUAUAAUAUAGUUUUGAAUAAUUGCUAGUGGACGUAUUAAACGAGAGUGCGAGAGGCACGAUAACGAUUCUUAUUGUAAAAUUUAAUCCAUAACACAUGAUGCAAAUUAAAUAAAUACAUAUUCAUAUAGGCCAUGAAAUUUAUAAAUCAAGACGUGCUCAAUCAUCAAAUUUAUUAAAAAUUUCUAAGUACCUCAUUAUUUUGUUUGGAUUGAUCAGUUGACCCGAUUAAAAUGCCCACCCUACUUGAGAACCUGCAUUCACAUCGAAUAUGAGAACUUGGCUAGGUCUUGUCCAUGUCCUUAGUACAAUUAUCCAUUAAUGGUCAUAUAUAAUGUAAUGUCAUUUUUUUUUUAACGAUCAUAUUUGACCAUCAAUAAAUGAUUGCAAUAAGUACUUCAAUCCCUAGCUAAUAUUAUUAAACUCGAAUCACAACGUUUACAUCCAAAGUCAGAGUAUUAAACAACUCUUGCUCCACGGCUACCUAGUGUCCCCAUUAAAAUUGAAAGAAGGCUAGAUGUGCUCUUAGCAAAUUAUUAUUGGCACUUCAAAAUUCUCAUUUUGCACUUCAAAUUUUCUAUAAUUAGAAAGAAAAAUAUACUUGUGAGGAGUGUAGAAUGAGAUUGUUGAACUGCUAAUAACAGUUCUCUAAAUAAAUAAAUAAAAUUAAUAUAUAUUCGGUUCGGUUUUAGAAUCAUUGAAACCGAAACCAAACCAAAUGAUUUCGGUUUGAUUUGAUUUUUUGUUCAGUUCGUUUUUUAGGUUUCGGUUCAAUGUUCCGUUCAUUUUUUUUCCCUAUUUUUAAUCCACCCUUAGUUCACAACCUUAUUCUAUUUUAAAGGUGGUGUACAGGUUGGUUCAACUGAUGUUGAUGGACGUCAUGGGUUUAUGAACAAACAUGACAAGGUUGCACUGGACAUAGACAAGAUUGCAUUGGACAUGGCACAUGUUUGUGGGUUUUGCAUUGAUUGAAUUGUAUUUUAAAUGCAGACAGAUGAGCCAGAGUUUGGCAAUCAAUGCUCCAAUUAGGACAAAGUCUGAAGACCAAUUCUAACAUUAACAAAACAUAAUAAUAGUAAUAUGCCACUUAUUCAAUAUGCUAACAUUAAAAUAUAAUCAUAAUGAUUCACAUGUGACGAGUUCAUAGUCACGUAAUGUUUUAAUAUUGUAUGUAUAAUUUUUUGAGAGACAUCACGCCACGAAGGCCGUUUCAGUUUAAUAGCUUUGCAAAACCUUUAGCAUAGAAUGGAAAAAUGACCAACCAAUGUUGGAGAUGAUUUGUUGGGAGGAACAGGAAAACUAAUGAAAAGGGUUUAAAAACUUUAAGUUUUAACGAUAAGGACAAUAAAAAAGGUAAAGUGAAUAGUACCAGGAUUGACUUUUUAGUGUAAAAAUGUGGUUUUUCGUUAAAGUGAACAGUAUCAGGAGUUUUUUGUUAAAGUUCCCCUAACUAUAACUAUAAAACAGGUAAAAGGCAGUAGCCUAGUGAAGUGCGUGCUACUGCUUUUUACUAUAUUUUUUUCGUAAUAGGAAAAAUGAGCGGUGGAAAGAGGAUGAGAGCCUACGGACCCUAAUGAGCUUGACCACUGGUUUGAUUGAUGACUAAGAAUUAACAUCUCUUUUUUUGUGGCUUGAAGCAUAAUUAGGUUUGAUAUAAGUUAAUACAAGAAAGUAUGAACCUAAGAAUUUGUAGUGGAAAAUACAAAAGAUUCUUAAUAUACCAAAGAAAUAACGUAUCAGUCAUCAGUUGUACGUUGCCUUGUAUUUGUCAUUGAUGGAUUAGUCAUCAUCAUUGUCAAUGUCAUCGUCAAACUCAUAUGGUAUAGUAUGAUAAUCUUUCUCACCAGUAUCAUUAGGCUCUAUAUAGUACAUGUUCAUAAUGCACCAUAUUCACUACUGAACGAAAAAAACUAUAGGAAAACAAAAAUUGGUAGAAAGUGAGAGACUUAGUGAAAAAGAAGAGAGUGGUAUUUUGGGAGAAGGAUUCUACGGUCUGUAUGUUCACAUAGCUGUGAAUUAUACAUUUUACAAUUUGACCUUGUACAAACAUUUAAGUGAUUCAUGUAUUUGCUGAAUAGUUCAAAUUCAUCGCACUCUUUUCAUCUCCUCAAACAAAACAGAACAAAGAUAGACUCUUAAUUCAUAAAAUGUGGAACAUUUGUCCUUUUACAUGUACAUAAUAAAAGAAGCAUGUAACAUGUGUUUCACUUGCUUAAUUUGUCGGAAGUUCUCAUGCAAAUGUUGUGCAUUUUAUAAAAGGGAACUGUUAUUAGCACUCUAAAAAUCUCAUUUUAUACUCCUCACAAGUGUAUUUUUCUUUCUAAUUAUAGAAAGUUUGAAAUGCCAAAUAAGAUUUUUAGAGUGCUAAUAACAAUUUCUUUUAUAAAAGGCUUUUUAUAUUAGCACCCCACAAAAUGUUGAAUGCACCUCACAUUAAAAUUUAAUAUUAAAUAACUUAUAUAUCCUACUAUGCAAUGACAGUUUUGACCUUGUUAGGUUAAAAAAAUUAAAAAUUCUAUAUACACCCCAAAUCACUCUUAACGUAUUAUUUAUCUUCUUCAACUAUCAAAACCCAUCCAACCCUCCAUUGUUGAACAAAACCCUAACCAAUAAAACUACAAACAUGUUGAUUGAGAAAAAUUAUUUUUGACGAAUGAAACACAAAAUCAAUGUUUCGGAAGCUUCACAUGCGGUAGACUUCAUAUUAAUUAUUGUUUUAGUGAUUUUGACAACAUCAAUAAUUAUUUAAUCUUGCUUUUGAUGCGUUAUUCAAGCUUCUAUGUUCGUAUUCAUCUUUUAGGGAUCAUAGGGAUUACAUGAAGAAUUAAACACCUAAAAUUACCACCAAAUAUUAAAAACAGACGACAUGAGUUUUAAUGGUAGAAUUAAAAACAACCCACAUAUGCUUUAAAUCCCAGGCGGCAUCUUUUGUCAAACUUUUAGUCUGCAUAAUUUGUUCAAAUUAAAAGCUUUGUAAGAUUUGAGAAAUGUGGGGUGUAUAGAAAAUAUGGAGUUUUAACGAAAAACCCACGGUACUGUUCACUUUAAAGAAAACCACAUUUUUACACUAAAAAGUCAAACAUGGUACUAUUCAUUUUACCCUUUAUUUUGUCUUUAUCGUUAAAACUCAAAAUUUUCAAUCCCUUUUCAUUAGUUUUCCUUAGAAAAUAUGGGGUGCAUAUAGAAAAUGUAAGGUGUAUAUUAAGAAUGUGGGGGUGUGAGGGUAUUAUGGAAAAGUAUGCGUGGUGUAUUAAGAUAAUUUUUAAUUAAAAAAACAAAUGUGGGGUGUAUUAAGUAUAUGGAGUUUAUUCAACAAUUUGUGAGGUGUUAAUAUAAUAAGCCCUUAUAAAAUUGUAAUACCAAUUCUAUACAUCUCGUCAAAGAGAGAUAAAAACACGCCACACAAGUGAAAAAAACGAAGAAAACCGACUUGACGGGAUUCGACACAGGCAACUUACAGCCAGUGGCCACAAGUGUGACUACCAACGAAACUCAAUCUGCUUUUAUGAGAUUGUGAAAUUCUUUGGGAACUUUAACGAAAAGUUUCCGGUACUGUUCACUUUAACGAAAAACCACAUUUUUACACUUGGUACUAUUCACUUUACCCUUUAUUUUGUCCUUAUCAUUAAAACUUAAAGUUUUCAAGCCCUUUUCAUUAGUUUUCCUAAAUUCUUUUGGGUAACCAAGUGAGUCUUCUGCAUGAAAAUGAGGGAAGUCCUUGCUAAUCUGCUUGCAUCAUGUAACAGCGCGGAAUCGGCGGCGCAAUUGCACUCUCAAACCCUCAAAGCCGGCCUUUCCCAGGACAGCUUAUUUGCCACAAAACUCAACGCUCUGUACGCAAAAUAUGAGUGCAUCGGUCAUGCCCGCAAGGUGUUCGACGAAACGCCCCACAGAAUUGUCUAUCUCUGGAACGCCAUGCUCAGGAGCUACUGUAGAGAGGACCGGUGGGAGGAGACCCUGUGUCUAUUUUGUAGCAUGAUGUCUGAGUUAAGAGGUAAUGAUGAAAAGCCUGAUAAUUUCACCAUUCCUAUUGCUCUGAAGGCGUGUGCGAGGUUAAGGGCUCUAGCGUGUGGAAAAAUAAUACAUGGGUUUGUGAAGAAACAUGAGAAGGUUGCAUUGGAUAUGUUUGUAGGUUCUGCAUUGAUUGAAUUGUAUUCCAAAUACGGAGAAAUGGGCGAGGCUGUGAAAGUGGUUGACGAGUUUUUGCACCCGGAUGUGUUUUUGUGGACUUCUAUGGUUACUGGAUAUGAGCAAAAUGGUGAUCCUGAAGAAGCAUUGGAGUUUUUCUCCCGAAUGGUGAUGGUGGGGCGCAUUAAUCAUGACCGAGUGACGCUUGUUAGUGCUGUUUCGACUUGUGCUAAGUUAUCAAAUUUUAGAAUUGGAAGUUGUGUGCAUGAUGUUUCUAUUAGGAACGGGUUCAACUCUGAUUUAUCUUUAGGUAAUGCAUUGCUAAAUCUCUAUGCAAAGACGGGUUCUGUCAAAACUGCCGCUAAGUUGUUCAUGAAGAUGCCGGAAAAAGAUGUGGUUUCUUGGAGCUCCAUGAUUGCGUGUUACACUCAUAAUGGGGAUGUAAUAGAAGCGUUAAAUCUUUUCAACGAAAUGAUUGAUAUGAGAACCGAACCUAAUUCAGUGACUCUGGUUAGUGCAUUGCAAGCAUGUGCACUGGCAGGUAAUUUAGAAGAAGGUGAGAAGAUCCAUGAAACUGCUACUAGGAAGUGUUUCGAGUUAGAUAUCAAGGUAGCUACAGCCCUGAUAGAUAUGUACAUGAAGUGCUCUGCACCCGAAAAAGCAGGUGAUCUCUUCAAUAGAGUGCCAGAGAAAGAUGUGGUUUCGUGGGCUGCCUUGUUGAGCGGGUAUGCUCAUAACGGAAUGACAUACAAGUCAAUUGGGGUCUUUCGCGACAUGCUAUCAGACGAAACUAAGCCUGAUGCGUUGCUAUGGUCAAGCUUCUUGUAACUUGUUCGGAAUUAGGGAUUCUUCAACAAGCUCUCUGCCUCCAUGCUUAUGUGAUUAAACGUGCUUUCAAGAAUAACAUCUUUGUUGGAGCUUCACUCAUAGAGUUAUACUCGAAAUGCGGCAGCAUAGACAAUGCUAUCCUAUUAUUUGAAGGGAUAACAGACAAAGAUGUUGUUAUCUGGAGCUCGAUGAUUGCAGGUUAUGGAGUUCAUGGACAAGGAGAAGAAGCUUUAAAAGUAUUUGAUCGGAUGGUGAAGCACUAAGAUGUCAAGCCUAAUGAUGUAACAUUUCUCUCGAUUUUAUCUGCGUGUAGCCAUUCGGGUUUGGUUGAAGAAGGCAUCGAGAUAUUCAAGACCAUGUUGCCUGAAUACCAACUUAAGCCCGAACCUGAGCACUACGGGAUAAUUGUUGAUCUUCUUGGCCGGAUAGGAGAGCUGGAUAAGGCAAUGGAAAUCGUUGAGAGAAUGCCCAAUCCAGCUGCACCGCAUGUUUGGGGAGCCUUGCUUGGUGCAUGCCGGAUUCACAACAACACAAAGCUUGGAGAGGUUGCAGCAAAGAGUCUUUUUCGGUUGGAUCCUAAUCAUGCAGGAUAUUACAUCUUGCUCUCGAAUAUAUAUGCCAUGGAUAACAAAUGGGAAAAUGUGACAAAUCUUAGAACUUUGAUAAAGGAGAAGUGAUUAAAGAAGAUGUCCGGGCAGAACGUUGUCGAGGUGGGGAGUGACAUCCGUAGUUUUGUUGCCGGAGAUAGAUUGCACCUUGAUUCUGAUCAGAUUUAUGGAUUGCUAGGAAAAUUAGAGGCGAAAAUGAGAGAGGAAGGUUAUGUUCCCAAUGUCGAUCUCCUGCUACAAAAAAACAUGGCGGAUGCUGUCUAGAUUUGAAGUGCUGAGAAAUUUCUUGUAUGGAAAGUUUCGACUCACAUGAAAGAAAGGCGUAAUGAUAUGGACAUACUCUAGGAUUGUGAUGUUUUUCUAUCAAAUUACUUACAUAAAUUUCAUGAAAAUAUGUAGUAAUUACUUGUAUCAAUGAGCAGUGCCUUCUUUUCCAGAAGCAAGGACAAAUUCCACAUACAGAUUCUUGAAGGCAAUCACCACUGUCAUCAGCAGAGGACCCAUAAUCUGUUAAAACCCACCCCCAAAUAAUUGGAAAAUUUGAUAUUUCCACCCCCAUUUGCCACGUGUCAAUCAUCCAAACCCCUUCUUUUCCCUCUCUCUCUUCCCUCACCCCCGUGACUUCUCUUUUCUUCCUGUCUCUCUCUGUACUCUGUCCCUCUCAACUCUCCCGAAGCUCUCACUCUCCCGUGCAUCUCUCUCCCUCAACCUCUCUCGUAUCUCUCUCCCUCUGAACUCGAGUGGACCCUAGCAUUCCCAGGAGAGACCUGUAGCGAACCAGGGAUCCCUGCCCUGCGGCUCGAUGGCACGGAGCAAAGCUCCGGCGGCUUCUCUUCCUUUUUCCCGUCGGGUAGGUCUCAAAUCUCUCACUCUCGUACCUAGUUCUUGGUUUGGUUGUGAUUUAGAAGCUUGAACCUUACCUUUUUACGUAGGUUUUUUCUUCGGAACGGUCGUGGGUGAGCACACCCACUUUUCUGGUGAACCCGUACACCCCAAGGACUUUUCCGGUCAGCUCCGCCCUUCUCUCUCGGCAAGCCACAGGCCAACCGGCCUCUCCCAUUUCCUUCGCGGGCCUCCAGCCCGUUUUGUUUAAACCCAGUACCCUAACCCAUUCCCUUUUUAUUUUUAGUUUUAGUCCUUAAAACCCAAAAGGCCACGGGCCUUAAUGUUGAAAGGCCUAGGGCCGGUUAUGUCCUAAGGGCUUAAAGCCCUGUUUUCGGUAGUGAGGCCCGAGGGCCUUAUGCUUAUGUGUGUGUGUGUGUGUUUAAGUUUAUAUGUUUGGGCUUAAGCCCAAACCCCCUUUCCAUCCUUUUAAAUCCAAAAGGCCUAGGUUCCCAAAACCCAUUAAAAAACCCUAAAACCCAUCCUAUCCCAAAUCCCCUAAUUUAAUUUAUUAGAACCCAAUCUUUUAGAAAAUCCUUUUAAUUAUUAAUAUUACAUUCUUGUUCUUAGGUAAAAUUGCUAGUGGAGAAAUUGUAUAUCCUUAUUCGCGCGACUCUUCUGCUAAGGAAUAUUUGUGAGUGGACCCCUUCUAAAAUUACAUGAUUUGAUAAUUUAAUUGCAUAAAUGAUUAGCAUGCCUACGAAUUUAUAAUUUGAUUUAUGUGAAGCCUGUUAAUUAAAUAUAUUGAUUAUCGUCUCGUGUUUUGGUGAGGAAUUAAUUGUUAGCCUAUACUGAGCUAUAUUUCAAUAUAUCGUAUUUUCUAUAAAAACCAUGAACUGGUAGACUAUCUGACAGAUGACGAUAGAAUGCUAGAACAUGAUUUUGAACCCUCUUUAUAGCGUAGACGAUAUUCGGUAACCUAUGCUAUGAAGUGGUUAUUUAAGAGAGACGUAACUAUUUGUGCGUACCUAGUGGACACUAUGCCGCCUGGGGCGAGGAUCUGGUGUUGGCAUUUGGGCCGGGAGAAUUAAUCCCUAGCAAAAGGCUGAGGGACACGGAGACAGGCAUUGGGCCGGGAGGGAGUUAUCUCUGGCCACGGGCACAGAGACUGAGGUGCAGGCAUUAGGCCGGGAGUUAUAUUUAUUCAGUGAUCUUUCUAGCAGCACACCGCGCUUACGAGACGAUUUAUGAGACGUUUGAUAUUUCGAUUUCCACGAUGCUUUUCCGCGAUUUAUGGCUUUUGAGAUAUUUUUGGCAUGCUAGGAUUUUAGUAAAUCCAUCAUUUAUUAUGCUAGUAGUUUUCAUUAUAUAACUUUGGGGGUUAGUAUUUUAAUAACUGUUUUAUUAUUAUUGUAUAUACGAACUUGGUCCACUCACCUUUGUUUUGCGCCCCCAUUCAGGACAUAGAGCCGAGGCAUACAAUCCUGGCUUGAAUGCAUUUCCGCAGCAGCAAUCUUCGGAUCCUCUCGAUGUAGGACCCACUCCUUUAUUCAUUAAAUUUUAUCUUAAUUCUUCUUAGUGAUUAGGUUUAGUUGUAUGCUCUGAGCACGUUCCUAAACUGUUAACUCAUUGUAUUUCAAAAUUCUAACCUUCAUUUAUUUCUUAUUCUUAGCUUUUGUAUCAAUUAAUGGCUUUCGUCACCCCCGGAUGUCGGCCAGCACGUGUCGGUCCUGGUAUUCGGGGAAUAUCAGGGUCGAGGCGUGUCAUAAUCGCUCCCUGUAAUUUGAUCGGAAAAACGCAAUGUGUGUGGUACAAUUGCUUAUAAAGCACUACACGCUCAUCCUCACUAGGACUCAACAACUUGGCUCAAAUAUAAACCACUAAAAUCACCAAUCUCCACCUUGGCGUGAUUCAAGCCAUGAUGUCCGAUCCCAACGCAAAUAGAGCUCCACCUUGACCACAGGCACCAAAUUCCAAAGGAGCUCGCUCUUCAACUUCAACAAGCAUUGCCUAAGGUCUAAUACCCAUUGUUGUGCGGAAGCACACCAACGGAUUCCACACACACGAGUCGGUAUUGCCGAUAUUCCACCUACUUUAUCCACCAGAAAAAAGGGAUAUGGAUUUUAUCAAAAGGUCUCGGCAAUAUGACAAUUUAAAAAAAAAGUGUAUAAGUUCAUAUAAUAUUUCAAAAAAAUUCCAUACUGAAUUUGCAGGGUAUGAUUAGUAACAAUUAGAGUUAAUCACAUACAUCAAACAACUAGGGUUCAUUAUAGGAGAGAAAAUGAGGGCAACAAUGGGAGCAGACGAAAGGUGAAAGGGGAAAUUAGUUUCCUUGAGAUGGGGGAGACCAAAAUAGGGAUAAACACGACACGCACAUUUGCAUAUAAAUUUCUCUAAUGUCACUAAUGAAUCAAAUAAAAAAAUCAUUAAUUUUUUUGAUAAGAAAAUAAGCUAUAUAUAUGUUUAAUUAAGAAUUCGUUGCAUUGCUUCGCUAAAAAUGCUUCAGCUAAAAGUGCUUUUAUUAUACACUUAGAAAUGCUUUCUUUCAUUUCCCAAUUGUUUCUUCUUCAUCGUCAAAGCUUUCAAUAUUGAGAUCAGAACCUUAAAUCUUUCGCAAUCUGAAGCUUAACUCUGUAUCGUCGUCAGUGUCCUCCUCAUCAGACUCGUAUGGCACACGCUCAUAGUCCACAUCUGUCCAAUCUGAAGCUAUAAAUUCCCAUUCUACGAUAUCCACUCCUGUUUUCUUAACCUUAAUUUGAUGAUCAUCCUCUGUUUCAAUAAAGUCUGCAUGCACACGAACCUUGUCGCCACCUUUCAGAUUGAGCUUCUUGUUUGUAAGAUUUCCCAGCCAAAGAUAACAUUCAUGGGAAGCAGUUACGGUGGUCUCCAUUGGCCAAAUGUGAAAACGAGUUUGCUGGGUACGAUUAACAACAUCAAUGCAUAGGGACCCAGUACAGUCUGAGCUGUCCGAAGAAUAAAUGAUGCACACAACCAACACUCCUAUAUAAUCAAAAGUAGGCGGCACUUCAAUUUCGACAGUUUCAUCCUCUCGCGCGACAUAGGGUAACGAACGAGGAAUAUCAUUUACAGAGAGAGAAAGUCCACCUUCUACAUCCCCCUUCCAUUUCUACAACACGAGGUGCAAAGUUAGUAUAAGCAGCAAUACGAAAAUCAGAGAGGGAGAGCGAAAGUUCCAUACCAAUAGGAUGUUCUCCUUAAAAGUAGCAGUGAGACUGGCGCACCCUUCCAUAUGAAGGGUAUACAGGUUGCACAAGAAGUUAUCCAGGUUUGGAAUAUCAUUGAGUUUGCGGCAGUCUUUCAGUUGCAAUUCAACCAUUUCCAACAUCUCUGGAAGGUCGGGCAUUAUUUCCUAGGACAAUUAGAGAGGAAGGUUAUGUUCCCAACGUCGAUCUCCUGCUACACGACAUGGUGGAUGCUGUCUAGAUUUGAAGUGUUGAGAAAUUUGUUGUCGGGAAAGUUUCGACCCACAUGAAAGGCGUAAUGAUGGACAUACUCUAGGACUGUGAUGUUUUUCUAUCAAAUCACUUGCAUCAAUUUCAUGAAAAUAUGUAGCAGUUACUUGUAUCAAUGGGCAGUGGCUUCUUUUCCAGAAGCAAGGACAAAUUCUACAUACAGAUUCUUGAAGGCAAUCAUCACUGUCAUCAGCAGAGGACCCAUAAUUGCUCCCUGUAAUUUGAUCGAAAAAAACGCAAUUCAAACGUCGUCAAAAGUAAGGUUUAGAAAAGAGGAAUUACUUCCAACAUGGAGGGGAAAAGAGCAAUGCCCCCAAGUAUGCUAAGGCCGGUGAGGUAGGCGAUCUGUCCCGGAAUCUCAUCUUGGAUAGCUGCUGUGCCGUAUUCCAACAGAAUCUGAUGAACUGCCGUCACCAAGCCGGUGUAAUUUGCAAAACAGCGCUCAUAAGAGUAAAGGAUGUGGACAUGUAGAGGAAAUGAAUCUGGUAGAAUCGAAACAAGAGAUACGUAAGCCUCCUUUGAAAGAAUGUGACCUUUGCAGUGGCAAGAUGUGUGUGUGGUACAAUUGCUUAUAAAGCACUACACGCUCAUCCUCACUAGCCGAUGUGGGACUCAACAACUUGGCUCAAAUCUAAACCACUAAAACCACUAAUCUCCAUCUUGGCAUGUCUCACUAUCCAAAUGCAAAUAGAGCUCCACCUUGACCACAGACACCAAAUUCCAAAUGAGCUCGCUCUUCAACUUCAACAAGCGUUGCCUAAGGUUUAAAACCAAUUGUUGUGCGGAAGCACACCAACGGGUUCCACACACACGAGUCGGUAUUGCCGAUAUUCCACCUACUUUAUCCACCACAAAAAAAACGGGUAUGAAUUUUAUCAAAAAAAACCUCGGCAAUAUGUUUGUGUGAUCAUUGCUUAUAAAGCACCACAUGGUCAUCCUCGGUAGCCGAUGUGGGACUCAACUUGGCUCAAAUCUAAGCCACUGAACCCGACAUUCAUCAACCAGAAGGAAGAUUGAGUUGAGAAAAUUUGAAAUGUUAUACACACUUAUACACCAUUUUUAGUUUGUCAUACAAUUAAAAAUUAAGUGAUUUGUCAUAUCAAUUUUCCAAAUUCACUAAUUUGUCAUCCCAACAUAACUUCGUUAAGUUUUUCAUGCAAAUAAGUUGCAAUCUUUGAGAAUUCAACAUGGUCAAUCAUGUCGAUAAAUUUUUUUUUUUUUUGAAAUGUCCGAAACCUUUAAAUGUUUGAAAUAAUCUGAAGUGAGGAGUUGAAAUGUCCAAAAUAACCUUGAAAAAAAGUCAUGUGCAAACCGCAUGACUUAUUUUAGAUAGAAAACUUAACAGAGUUAGAAUAAUAUGACAAAUUAAUAAUUUCGAAAUAUUGAUACGACAAAUUAAAAAAAGUGUAUAAGUUCAUAUAACGUUUCAAAAAAUUUCCAUACUAAAUUUGCAGGGUAUGAUUAGUAACAAUUAGAGUUAAUCACAUGGGAGUGGACGAAAGGUGAAAGGGGAAAUUAGUUUCUUUGAAAUGGGGUGGGGGGAGACCGAGGAAUAAACACGACACACUUGCAUGUAAAUUUCUUUAAUGUCAUUAAUGAAUCAAAUAAAAAAUCAUUAAUUUAUUUGAUAAGAAAAUAAGCUACUUAUAUGUUUAAUUAAGAACUCGUUUAGCAUUGCUUCGCUAAAAACGCUUUAGCUAAAAGUGCUUUUAUUAUACCCACAUUGAAACUCUUAUUAAAAAUUCAAGUACUUUCUAAAAAAGACACUUUGGAAUGCUUUCUUUCAUUUCCCAAUUGUUUCUUCUUCAUCGUCAAAGCUUUCGAUAUUGAGAUCUGAUAAACUCAAAUCUUUUGCAAGGUUGGACCUCAUCAGAUGAGUAAUCGCUUAACUCUUUAUCGUAGUCAUCAGACUCAUAUGGUGCAGUCUGAUAGUCCUCUUCCUCAUCAGACUCAUAUGGUGCAGUCUGAUAGUCCUCUUCCUCAUCAGUAUCUUCAUCAGACUCAUAUGGCACACUCUUAUAGUCCACUUUUAUAAAAUCUUAAAGUACAUAUUCCCAUUCUAUGAUAUCCACUCCUGUUUUCUUCACCUUAAUUUGAUGAUCAUCCUCUGUUUCAAUAAAGUCUGCAUGCACACGAACCUUGUCGCCACCUUUCAGAUUGAGCUUCUUGUUUGUAAGAUUUCCCAGCCAAAGAUAACAUUCAUGGGAAGCAGUUACGGUGGUCACCAUUGGCCAAAUGAGAAAACGUGUUCGCUGGGUACGAUUAACAACAUGAAUGCAUAGGGAUCCAGUACAGUUUGAGUUGUCCGAAGAAUAAAUGAUGCACACAACCAACCUUCCUAUGUAAUCAAAAGUAGGCGGCACUUCAAUUUCGACAGUUUCAUCCUCUCGCGCGACAUAGGGUAACCAGGGAGGAAUAUCAUUUACAGAGAGAGAAAGUCCAUCAAUUGUAUACCCCUCCCAUUUCUACAACACGAGGUGCAAAGUUAGUAUAAGCAACAAUACGAAAAUCAGAGAGGGAGAGCGAAAGUUCCAUACCAAUAGGAUGUUCUCCUUAAAAGUAGCAGUGAGACUGGCGCACCCUUCCAUAUGAAGGGUAUACAUGUUGCACAAGAAGUUAUCCAGGUUUGGAAUAUCUUUGAGUUUGCGGCAGUUUUUCAGUUGCAAUCCAACCAUUUUCGACAUCUCUGGAAGGCCGGGCAUUAUUUCCAGUUCAGUGCAGUAAUUCGCUUCCAGUCUACGCAAACUUGUAGGCAAAUCUGGGAUUGCCUGAAGGUUUGUGCAAUGAUUUAGAAACAAAGAUGUAAGCUGGGAAAGGCCACUGAGGAUGGGUAGCCUAUUAAAACCAUUUCCCUCUAGUGUUAAAAUCCUUAAAGAAGAUAGACUCCGAAGGCUUUCAAGAAUGGCAUCAUCCGUUAUAUUGCAGUCUUCAAGACCUAAAUACUGAAGCAUCUGCAACUGUGCAAAUAAAUGGUAACCCCAAGACACACUCUUACAGCCGUAGAGGCUCAAAACCUCGAGAUGUGGGAGUUUUGAAAAGUCUGGUAAUUGAGUCAGGUUACGGGAAUGAUUGAGAUAAAGAACCUUCAACUUCUUCGGCAACUGUUUGGCAAAAAGAUAGAACAAAAAUCAUAAUCCAUAUUAGAGAGAGAGAGAGAGAGAGAGAGAAUGACUGUCGACUGAUGUUGGUAUUUACAAACACGGACGAGGAAAGGAUUAAUAAUUUGGUUGAGGUUACGACAAUUAUAUGUAUCGUACCAGAUCGGAAUCCUCCCAAACUCGGACAAGCUUGCUGUACCUCAAGUCAAUAAGAACUAAGUUUCGUAAAUCAAAAUCAUCGGGUAUGACCUCUAGAGGAAAUCCCUGCCAACGCAAUAAUCUUAACUCCUUGGAAAGAUGACGGUAGCUUCCAGUGAGCUUUACAUUUUUGAGUCGGAGAAAUUUCAGAUGCCGCAUCUUCUUAAAUGCUUUUGUCCGGAAGGGAUGCUCAUCAGAAUUUUCUGGCAACUCUAAAGUUAGCCCUCUAAUUGCUUCCGUUCCCUGUUGGGGGAAAACAAGAACAAAUCUAAUUCAAGCAGAGCCAUGACUAUCUAUGAACGAACUACAAAUGCAGCGCAUACAAUGCAUUAGAUGUGGGAUAUGCAUAUGCUUCUGUUUAUUUACAUACAUUCAACAUAACAUUUUUAUUGGGAUUUGGGAAAGCACUUACAGAUUCGUCUCUUAACACGCUUGUUACGUCUUCAUGAUGCCAUAAUCGACUACGUUUUCCAGGUUCCAUAGCACAUUCUGCCCGCACAAUUUCUCUUCCCAUGUCUCGAAUCAAAUCAUGCAUCCUAAUGAAUCCUAAAUCAAAAUCUACAAGACAUCGAUCUUGAAUGGUUUUGAAUUCUGAUUCUACACAAAAGUGACUGCAACUAUCCAAUAUUGCCACGACUUCAGUUUCAUCCCGGUUAAUAAAGAAAUGAGAUAUGUCAAGGACACACCUUUCACAUGAUCAUCACUUAGCCCGUCAUAGCUUAAUCUAAGUGUUUCAUGAAUUUUUCCAUCAGGAAUAUUUCUCAAUUUUUCCAAUGUACUUUUCCAUAUGCUUUUACUCUUUUUCGUAGCCAACAAACGGCCUACGACUUUAAGAGCUAGCGGCAAUCCUCCACAAUAAUCGACAACAUCUGUUGCGAGUUCAAUAUAUUCUUCAUCAGGACAAUGAUUUCCAAACGCAUGCCAACUAAGGAGCUCAAGAGCUUCUUCAUCCGUCAUUGUUUGUGCCUUAUAUUUUUUUUCCACCUUCUGUAUAUUCAGCACUUGUUCAUCUCUUGUUAUUAAAAUAAUCCUACUUCCUGGACCAAACGAGUGAUGUUCUAUCGCCAAUUCAUCUAAUUGGUCCGCAUCAUCUAUGUCAUCAACUACGAUGAGUACCUUCAUGCUUCCAAGUCUUUUCUCUAUCUCCUUGGUCCCUUCGGCAACACUACUUAUUUUAAUGUCAGGCCGUUUCAAAAUAUCUCGAAGAAGUUGUUCUUGCAGACUAACCAUAUUUUUCUUUUUACUCCUCACCUCUUCAAGGUAACAUUGACCACGGAAACUAUGAUGGUAUGUGCUAUAAAUGGUUCUCGCAAGCGUUGUUUUACCUAUGCCGCCCAUACCCCAAAUUCCAAUUAUUUGAACAUCAUGUGAACCUUCAACAUCUAAGUAUUUAGUACUGAAUUCUUCCACGCGAAAAGCUAUUCCAACUGAGUGCUUGGCUUCUUUUAAGUCGCUGGUUUUUAGUAGUCCGAUGAUGUCCCCAACAACUUUCUGGAUAAAUACUCCUUCACGCCUGCCAAUUGGAAAUCCAAAUUAUGCAAACAGAUGAUUAAUCAUGCAACAGCAGGAUUCAUAUGAACUAAAUGCCUUAUGCAUCACGACAUGGCUGAUUAGUGAGUAUCCCAAAAGCUAAUUGUACAAGAUGUUGCAAGCGAUUAAAUUUUGUAAAAGAGGAAAUUAGAAAUGAUACCUGUCCGCAGUGGUUUCAAGAUUCCGGCCAACCAAAUCUGCAGAAGCCUUAAGAUCCUUUCUCCACUGCUCGACCUCAUUUGGGUCUUCAUCCCUUUCAUGCUUCUGAAAUGCUUCCCCAAAACUACCACUCUGUUUCCUCACUUCAGAAGGGCCACUCUGUUUCCUCACUUCAGAAGGGUCAACGUCGUAGAAUAUUGGAUAGACUACUUUCCCCUCUUGAUCUUCUCGGCACCUCAUGAUCUUCGACAGCUCCCUCAGGCACCAUCGGGACCCCGCGUAACUCUUUGAGAAGACGACGACCGCGACCCUCGACCCUUCGAUUUCUUGGUCAAGUUCUCUCUGUAUAUUCUCCCCCUUUCUGAGCUCGUAGUCUAUAAACGUGUUGAUUCCGGCAUCGCGUAACGCUUUGAAGACGUGGUCUGUGAACCCAGUGCGUGUGUCCUCGCCUCUAAAGCUCAGGAACACCUCGUACUUCCAGCGGUUUGAACGCCGAGAGGAAGAGGAACCGCCGGCGGCGGCGGUUGCAAGGGCGAGGCUGCCGGUAUUCAUUGAUUUCAAGCAAAGAAGUGAAACUCCUGAUCGUUUCAGUCUAAAGAAAACAAUUCUCUCCCAAGAUUCCCAGCGAAACUCCUGAUUAUUGUUUUGGAUCGCUGGAAGAUGUGAGAGCAAAAAAUAAUGAAGAAAGAAGAGGGAGAGAAGAUGCAAGAUGCGGCUGAGUAAGAAAAGAUGGGAGGGAGAAAAUAAUAACAAAAACUGGGAUUGAAUUAAGUUUUCAACAGACAAAAUAAAUACUAAAGUGAAUAUAUCAGGUUUGACUUUUUAGUGUAAAAAUAUAGUUUUUUGUUUAAGUAAACAGUACCGUUGACUUUUUGUUAAAACUCGCAUAAUAAUAUACCCACAUUUGUAGUAAGAAGGCUUUUCUUAAAAGACCUAGCUUCUCUGUCCUUCCACUUUCCAUAUACUUUCAUCCUCUCUUAUUUGUACGAUCACGGUUAAGUCACGUCUACAUUUUAUAUUCUUAUUAUCUCUAUAAAAAAAUCAAUAUAAAAUGUUGACACUUAACCGUGAUCGCAAAAAAAAAAAAGAAUGAAAGUGUAUAAGAAGUGGAAGAGCAGAGAAGCCGGUCCUUUCUUUAUGGGCUUGAUUGAUUAAGUCUAAUCUACCAAUAUAUUAUAUUUAAUAGGCCUUAUUGUAUAGGUUGUCAUUGUCGACGGCAUCGCGAUCAUUAUUCAAAGCAUAUAAUCAGUUUUUAAUUAAGGUGGAUUACUGUUCUGAUUGGUUUGAAACAUUCAAACUAUUAAAAUGUAAUAUAGUUUUGAAUAAUUGCUAGUGGACGUAUUAAACGAGAGUGCGAGAGGCACGAUAACGAUUCUUAUUGAAAAAUUUAAUCCAUAACACAUGAUGCAAAUUAAUUAAAUACAUAUUCAUACAGGCCAUGAAAUUUAUAAAUCAAGACGUGCUCAAUUAUCAAAUUUAUUAAAAAUUUCUAAGUACCUCAUUAUUUUGUUUGGAUUGAUCAGUUGACCCGAUUAAAAUGCCCACCCUACUUGAGAACCUGCAUUUACAUCGAAUAUGAGAACUUGGCUAGGUCUCGUCCAUGUCCUUAGUACAAUUAUCCAUUAAUGGUCAUAUAUAAUGUAAUGGCAUUUUUUUUUCGAACGACCAUAUUUGACCAUCAAUAAAUGAUUGCAAUAAGUACUUCAAUCCCUAGCUAAUAUUAUUAAACUCGAAUCGCAACGUUUACAUCGAAAAUCAGAGUAUUAAACAAUUCUUGCUCCACGGUUACCUAGUGUCCCCAUUAAAAUUGAAAGAAGGCUACAUGUGCUCUUAGCAAAUUAUUAUUGGCACUUCAAAAAUCUCAUUUUGCACUCCAAACUUUCUAUAAUUAGAAAGAAAAAUAUACUUGUGAGAAGUGUAGAAUGAGAUUGUUGGACUGCUAAUAACAGUUCCCUAAAUAAAUAAAUAAAAUUAAUAUAUAUUCGGUUCGGUUUUAGAAUCAUUGAAACCGAAACCAAACCAAAUGAUUUCGGUUUGAUUCGAUUUUUUGUUCAGUUCGUUUUUUAGGUUUCGGUUCAAUGUUCCGUUCAUUUUUUUUCCUAUUUUUAAUCCACCCUUAGUUCACGACCUUAUUCUAUUUUAAAGGUGGUGUACAGGUUGGUUCAACUGAUGUUGAUGGACGUCAUGGGUUUAUGAACAAACAUGACAAGGUUGCACUGGACAUGGCACAUGUUUGUGGGUUUUGCAUUGAUUGAAUUGUAUUUUAAAUGCAAACAGAUGAGCCAGAGUUUGGCAAUCAAUGCUCCAAUUAGGAUAAAGUCUGAGGACCAAUUUUAACAUUAACAAAACAUAAUAAUAGUAAUAUGCCACUUAUUCAAUAUGCUAAUAUUCAAUCUGAUUUUAAUGAUUCACAUGCAACGAUUUCAUAGUCACAUGAUGUUUUAAUAUUGUAUGUAUAAUUUUUUUAGAGACAUCACGCGACGAAAGGCCAGGGUUCUGCUGUCCCGAACUUUGUGUCUCCUGCCAUGUCUCCUUCUAAUUAUGUCAUUUAACUUAACUCCCAAUUUAACAGUGUCAACUUUUCUUAAUUAAUAUUUAUUUAAAUACAAAAACUGAUUCCCCAAAGAAAAUUGAAAAUCAAAACAAAAAGAAAACAAAUCCCAACUGGAAGUCCGAAAGUCUGCAGCUCCCUCCAAUCUCAGUCGGCGGCAAUUCACACGGCCGUUGAAGCUUCCAUUACACUCUCUUUCUAUAUCUCACCAGCGAAGUCCCGUAGGAUGAUUGAGUCAAACCUUCCCGUAUAUUAUGAUCUCGCCGUUUAUUGUCAUCGAGUCGAUUCAAAUCUCGUUUCUAUAGAUUGACCAAAUUUCUUCCUUGCUUCCUCAAACCAAAAAUUACAUAAAAUUUGAUGUUUGACGGGCCGGGUUGAUCACGAUUGGGUAUUUGAACGGAGAAAAAAAUGGCGAACAGAGAGAAAAGGAGGUUUCGCCAGCCGUGGAGUUCUCCGAUGACAGACCGAUGUUGUUGGCUGUCGAAUUGGUGUUGAUGGGAAUUUGAGUGGCUGUUGCUUUUAAUUUUUUAACUUUUAGUUUUUAUUUAUUUAACCUUAUUAAACAUUUUUUGACAAAAAAAGCCUUAUUAAACAUUUGACACUGUUAAAUUACAAGUUAAAUUAAAGGGUAUAAUUAGAAGGGGACAUGAAAGGAGACACAAAUUUAGGGACAUCAAAUCCCUGGCCGUGUAAAGAGGAUGAGAGCCUACGGACCCUAAUGAGCUUGACCACUGGUUUGAUUGAUGACUAAGAAUUAACAUCUCUUUUUAUGUGACUUGAAGCACAAUUAGGUUUGAUAUAAAAUAAUACAAGAAAGUAUGAACCUAAGAAUUUGUAGUGGAAAAUACAAAAGGUUUUUAAUAUACCAAAGAAAUAACGUAUCAAUCAUGAGUUGUACGUUGUUUUGUAUUUGUCACUGAUGGAUUAGUCAUCGUCAUUGUCAAUGUCAUCGUCAAACUCAUAUGAUAUAGUAUGAUAAUCCUCCUCACUAGUAUCAUUAGGCUCUAUAUAGUACACGUUUAUAAUGCACCAUAUUCACUCCUGAACGAAAAAAGUAUAGGAAAACAAAAAUUGGUAGAAAGUGAGAGACUCAGAGCAGUUCCACCGGAGCUUUGUUUGCCCAUCACCCAGUAAAAAAAAACACACUGAGGGUCUGUCCAUUCACUUCAGCCAACAAAGUUGCCUGACACCCAACCCAAGCCAGGCAACAAACCAGCCCAUUUUUGACAGACCCAAGAGCCGGCCUAUUUGGCUGGCGCGUGGCCGCGAGUAGGAGACAAGGUUGCAGAGGGCUGUCAACCCACUUGUGCUCCGGAGCCCCAUUAGUGACGUGGCAUGUUCAUAGCCGUUGGAUUUCCAACAGUAAAAAAAAUUUAAAAUUUACUUUUAAACUGGACCGUCCGAUCACAAAUCAACGGUCCACGUUUUUUACCCCAAUACAGAAAAUUUUUAAUAAAUUUAGAUAUUAUUAUUAUUAUUAUUUUAUUUUUUAUAAAUUCAGAAAUUAAAAAUAAAAUUAUUAUUUUAUAAUAAAAAUACUAAUAUUUUAAUAAAAUGGACUAUGCUAUUCUUUGUUAGGGGUGGAGAUGCUUUGGCCUAUUACUAUUCACUGAGGUCUAUUACUGUUCACUUGAGUAGAUAAAUGCGCUGGGUGCUGGCACAAAGUCCUUAGGGGUGGACUUGCUCUUAGUGAAAAAGAAGAGAGUGGUAUUUUGGGAGAAUGAUUCUACGAUCUGUAUGUUCACAUAGAUGUGAAUUAUACGUAUUACAAUUUGACCUUGUACAAACAUUUAGGGCACGUUUGUUUGGCCGGCUUAAGUUUCACUGGACUGGACUACUAAGCUAGAAUCAGUAGUCCUGUGUUUGGUGUAAAUUGGGAUUGUGUUUAAUGGGAUUAAGCCGGACUCGUGCCGACUAAAUUCUUCGCUAGGUGGGCUUAGCGAGAGCCACCAAAAACGAGGGGAUUUGUAGUCCCGCUUCUGUUCUUCUCUUCACCUCAUGUUGCUUCGCUUCACCCCAGGCUUGAACGACAACUUGCGGUCCCUUUCUCUGACUCUCUCUCUCUCCUCCUCCCUCUUCUUCAUCUCAGAAGAUCUCCAAAUCUGCAAUUUUGGGUUUGACGGAAACGAAUCCAAGAAAUCCAAGCCAUAGCCGUCUCUCAUUUCCCCGACUCCACAAACCCUGACUCGUUGCCGAACAGCUUGCCAGGCAUUGUUGCAGGCUGGUUCCGCCGCUCCACAGGCUUGCGGCUCCGAUUGAAUCCACGGACUUGGAAAGCUCUCUCCAGUUGUAAUCUUGCACCGAACAAAAACCUGAAAAACCAAGCUCGAUUCUUCGUUUUGCAGAAAAAAAAUUUGGCAAUUAAUCGGAAAAAAAGAGGACAGGAAUGAGAGAGUGGGACGGAGAGAACGAGGGAGAUAAAGAGGGAGAAAAGGAUGAGGCUUCCACAGAGAGAGGGAGAGUUUUAUUAGAAUAAAAAAGGUAGAAUUAAUUAAUAUAAUAUUAUUAGAUAUGAAUUAAAAAAUAUAAUAUUGUAGUUUGCUAUUAUCCUUCUUUUUAGUCCGACACUGCACCAAACGCUUCACUAAGUUAGUCCAGCUUAGUCUAGUCUAAGUCAGUCCAGCUUAGUCCCUGAAGCUAGUCCAGUCUGAGAUAGUCCGGUGCAACAAACGCACCAUUAAGUGAUUCAUGUAUUUGCUGAAUAGUUCAAAUUCAUCGCACUCUUUUCAUUUCCUCAAACAAAACAGAACAAAGAUAGACUCUUAAUUCAUAAAAUGUGGAACAUUUGUCCUUUUACACAUACAUAAUAAACGAAGCAUGUAACAUGUGUUUCACUUGCUUAAUUUGUCGGAAGUUCUCAUGCAAAUGCUAUGCAUUUUAUAAAAUUCUAAUACCAAUUCUAUACAUCUCGUCAAAGAGAGAUAAAAACACGCCACACAAGGGAAAAAACGAAGAAAACCGACUUGACUGGAUUCGACACAGGUAACUUAGAGCCACAAGUGUAACUACCAACGAAACUCAAUCUGGUUUUAUGAGAUUGUGAGAUUCUUUUGGGGUUACCAAGUGAGUCUUCUGCAUGAAAAGGAGGGAAGUCUUUGCGAAUAUGCUUGCAUAAUGUAACAACGUGAAAUCAGCGGCGUAAUUGCACUCUCAAACCCUCAAAGCCGGCCUUUCCCAGGACAGAUUCUUUGCCACAAAACUCGACGCUCUGUAUGCAAAAUAUGAGUCGCUCGGUCAUGCCCGCAAGGUGUUCGAUGAAACGCCCUACAGAAGUGUCUAUCUCUGGAACGCCAUUCUCAGGAGCUACUGUAGAGAGGACCGAUGGGAGGAGACCUUGUGUUUAUUUCGUAACAUGAUGUCUGAGUCAAGAGGUAAUGAUGAAAAGCCUGAUAAUUUCACCAUUCCCAUUGCUCUGAAGGCGUGUGCGAGGUUAAGGGCGUGUGCGAGGUUAAGGGCGUUCGCGUGUGGAAAAAUAAUACAUGGGUUUGUGAAGAAACAUGAGAAGGUUGCAUUGGAUAUGUUUGUAGGUUCUGCAUUGAUUGAAUUGUAUUCCAAAUGCGGACAAAUGGGUGAGGCUGUGAAAGUGUUUGACGAGCCGACAUUCACCUCUCCUAGACCCUACGUAAAGCGGGAGCCUUGUACACUGGUACGACCUUUUAUGUGUUUUUGUAUACUUUUAUGGUUACUGGAUAUGAGCAGAAUGGUGAUCCUGAAGAAGCAUUGGAGUUUUUCUCCCGAAUGGUGAUGGUGGGGCGCAUUAAUCAUGACCGAGUGACGCUUAUUAGUGCUGUUUUGGCUUGUGCUCAGUUAUCAAAUUUUAGAAUUGGAAGUUUUGUGCGUAGUGUUUCUAUUAGGAAUGGGUUCAACUCUAAUUUAUCUUUAGGUAAUGCGUUGCUAAUUCUAUAUGCAAAGACAGGUUCUGUCAAAACUGCCGCUAGGUUGUUCAUGAAGAUGCCGGAAAAAGAUGUGGUUUCUUGGAGCUCCAUGAUUGCGUAUUACACUCAUAAUGAGGAUGUAAUAGAAGCGUUAAAUCUUUUCAACGAAUAUUGAUAUGAGAACCGAACCUAAUUUAGUGACUCUGGUAUGUGCAUUGCAAGCAUGUGCACUGGCAGGUAAUUUAGAAGAAGGUAAGAAGAUCCACGAAAUUGCUACUAAGAAGUGUUUCGAGUUAGAUAUCAAGGUAGCUACAGCCCUGAUUGAUAUGUACAUGAAGUGCUCUGCACCCGAAAAAGUAGGUGAUCUCUUCAAUAUAAUGCCAAAGAAAGAUGUGGUUUCGUGGGCUGCCUUGUUGAGCGGGUAUGCUCAUAACGGAAUGGCAUACAAGUCAAUUGGGGUCUUUCGCGACAUGUUAUUAGACAAAACUAAUCCUGAUGUCGUUGCUAUGUUCAAGCUUCGUGCAGCUUGUUCGGAAUUAGGGAUUCUUCAACAAGCUUUUUGCCUCCAUGCUUAUGUGAUUAAACGCGCCUUCAAGAAUAACAUCUUUGUUGAAGCUUCACUCAUAGAGUUAUACUCGAAAUGCGGCAGCAUAGGCAAUGAUGUCCUAUUAUUUGAAGGGAUAACAGACAAAGAUGUCGUUAUCUGGAGUGCAAUGAUGGCAGGUUAUGGAGUUCAUGGGCAAGGAGAAGUAGCUUUAAAAGUAUUUGAUCGGAUGGUUAAGCAUUCAAAUGUCAAGCCUAAUGAUGUAACAUUUCUCUCGAUUUUAUCUGCGUGUAGCCAUUCGGGUUUGGUUGAAGAAGGCAUUGAGAUAUUCAACACGAUGUUGCAUGAAUACCAACUUAAGCCAUGACCUGAGCAGUACGGGAUAAUUGUUGAUCUUCUUGGCAGGACAGGAGAGCUGGAUAAGGCAAUGGAAAUCAUUGAGAGAAUGCCCAAUCCAGCUGCACCGCAUAUUUGGGGAGCCUUGCUUGGUGCAUGCCGGAUUCAUAAUAACACAAAGCUUUGAGAGGUUGCACCUAAGAGUCUUUUUCAGUUGGAUCCUAAUCAUGCAAGGUAUUACAUCUUGCUGUCGAAUAUAUAUGCCAUCGAUAACAAAUGGGAAAAUGUGACAAAUCUCAGAACUUUGAUAAAGGAGAAGGUGUUAAAGAAGAUGUCCGGGCAAAGCGUUGUCGAGGUGGGGAAUGACAUCUGUAGUUUUGUUGCCGGAGAUAGAUUGCACCUUGAUUCCGAUCAGAUUUAUGAAGUGCUAGGAAAUUUAGAGGUGAAAAUGAGAGAGGAAGGUUAUGUUCUCAAUGUCGAUCUCCUGCUACACAACAUGGCGAAUGCUAUCUAGAUUAGAGCGAGGGAUGUUGACAUGUAGAGGAAAUGAAUCCGGUAGAAUAGAAACAAGAGAUACGCAAGGCUCCCUUGAAAGCACUACACGCUCAUCCUCACUAGCUGACGUGGGACUCAAUCACUUGGCUCAAAUCUAAGCCACCAAUCUCCACCUUGGCGUGAUUCAAAUGCAAAUGCAAAUAGAGCUCCACCUUGACCACAGACACCAAAUUUCAAAUGAGCUCGCCCUUCAACUUCAACAAGCGUUGCCUAGGGUCUAAUACCAAUUGUUGUGCGGAAGCACACCAUCGGGUCUUACACACACGAGUCGGUAUUGCCGAUAUUCCACCUACUUUAUCCACACAAAAAAGGGUAUGGAUUUUAUCAAAAAGCCUUGGCAACAUGUUUUGUGUGAUCAUUGCUUAUAAAGCACCACAUGGUCAUCCUCAGUAGCCGAUGUGGGACUCCACUUGGCGCAAAUCUAAGCCACCGAACCCAACAUUCAUCAACCAGAAGGAAGAUUGAGUUGAGAAAAUUUGAAAUGUUAUACACACUUAUACGCUAUUUUUAGUUUGUCAUACAACUAAAAAUUUGAGUGAUUUGUCAUAUCAAUUUUCCAAAUUCACGAAUUUGUCAUCUCAACUUAAUUUCGUUAAGUUUUUUCAUGCAAAUAAGUUGCAAUCUUUGAGAAUUCAACAUGGUCAAUCAUAUAACGGAGUUAGAGUAAUAUGACAAAUCAAUAAUUUGUAAAUAUCGACAUGACAAAACGCUUAAAAUUUUAAUUCAUAUGACAAAUAAAAAAAAGUGUAUAAAUUCAUAUAACAUUUCAAAAAAAAUUCCAUACUGAAUUUGCACGGUAUGAUUAGUAACAAUUAGGGUUAAUCACAUACAUCAAACAACUAGGGUUAAUUAUAGGAGAGAAAAUAAGGGCAACAAUGGGAGUGGACGAAAGGUGAAAGGGGAAAUUAGUUUCUUUGAAAUGGGGUGGGGGGAGACCUACAGAGGGAUAAACACGACACAAACUUGCAUGUAAAUUUCUCUAAUGUAACUAAUGAAUCAAAUAAAAAAUCAUUAAUUUAUUUGAUAAGAAUAUAAGCUACUUAAAUGUUUAAUUAAGAGCUCGUUCGGCAUUGCUUCGCUAAAAACGCUUCAGCUAAAAGUGCUUUUAUUAUACCCACAUUAAAUCUUAUUAAAAAAGGAAAACUAAUUAAAAGGGUUUGAAAACUUUGAGUUUUAACGAUAAGGACAAAAUAAAGGGUAAAAUGAAUAGUAGCAGAUUUGACUUUUUAGUGUAAAAAUGUGAUUUUUCAUUAAAGUGAACAUUACCGUGGGCUUUUUGUUAAAACUCCCUAUUAAAAAUUCAAGUACUUUAUAAAAAGACACUUUGGAAUGCUUUCUUUCAUUUCCCGAUUGUUUCUUCUUCAUCGUUAAAGCUUCCAAUAUUGAGAUCAGAUAACCUUAAAUCUGUUGCAAGGUUGGACCUCAUCAGAUGAGUAAUCGCUUAACUCUGAAUCGUCGUCAGAGUCCUCCUCAUCAAACUCAUAUGGUGUAGUCUGCUAGUCCUCCUCCUCAUCAGUAUCUUCAUCAGAAUCAUAUGGCAAACGCUUAUAGUCCACUUCUAUCAGAUCUGAAAGUACAUAUUCCCAUUCUACGAUAUCCACUCCUAUUUUCUUCACCUUAAUUUGAUGAUCAUUAAAGUAUGCAAGCACACGAACCCUGUCGCCACCUUUCAGAUUGAGCUCCUUGUUUGUAAGAUUUCCCAUCCAAAGAUAACAUUCAUGGGAAGCAGUUACGGUGGCCUCCAUUGGCCAAAUGUGAAAACGAGUUCCCAGGGUACGAUUAACAACAUGAAUGCAUAGGGACCCAGUACAGUCUAACUUGUCUGAAGAAUAAAUGAUGCACACAACCAACCCUCCUAUAUAAGCAAAAGUAGGCGGCAUUUCAAUUUUGACAGUUUCAUCAUCUCGCGCGAAAUAGGGUAACGAGCGAGGAAUAUCAUUUACAGAGAGAGAAAGUCCACCAAUUACAUCCCCCUUCCAUUUCUACAACAUGAGGUGCAAAGUUAGUAUAAGCAACAAUACGAAAAUCAGAUAGGGAGAGCGAAAGUUCCAUACCAAUAUGAUGUUCUCCUUAAAAGUGGUAGUGAGACUGGUGCACCCUUCCAUAUGAAGGGUAUACAUGUCGUUGUUGCACAAGAAGUUAUCCAGGUUUGGAAUAUCUUUGAGUUUGCAGCAGUCUUUCAAUUGCAAUAUAAUCAUUUCCGACAUCUUUGAAAGGUCGGGCAUACUUUCCAGUUCAGUGCAGUAAUUCACUUCCAGUCUAAGAAAACUUGUCGGCAAAUCUGGGAUUGCCUGAAGGUUUGUGCAAUGAUUUAGAUAUAAAGAUUUAAGCUGGGAAAGGCCACUGAGGAUGGGUAGCCUUGUUUGGGUUAAAACUUGAAAUUUGGGCUCAAAAGGGAGUUGGCCCAAGAGAAGGUCUAGAAUGAGAGAAGCCCAAAGCUCAGCCGAAGCCCAGAAAGCAGAAGAGGCCCUUUCCCGACUAAGUGCAAAUCAUUUGCACCACUUGCUCACCUACCUAGAGGUUAAGUGGUGUAGACCAGCUAACUAAUCAGCCCAAAAGUACUUUAUAAUGGCAGUACAAGUAAAUAGUUGAUGAGUCACUGCCCUUCAAGCUACAUUCAGGCAAGAUUAAUGCUACAGGAGGCCAAGCCAAACUGUCUAUAAAAGAAGAAAGAGAAAUCAGAGAUAAACACACUCAAACAAACAAACAAAUACACAAACUCUGCUCAAACCAGAUUUGCAUACAAAGCUGUAGUCAGCAUCAAGCCUUCAUCCCUUUCGGGAUCAACCUUCACCAAAAGCCUUUGUAAAAGCUCUGCUACCUUGUCUAAAUCUUGCUCUAGUAUCAAUUUCCUUCUGUAAACUCACCUCCCUAUCCCCCUCUCUAGCUCUCAAACCCUUUUGUAAAUCACAAAGAUAGGAAGUUGCAAGACGAUCAGCCUUGCCCGACCCUCUUUGUUUUUGUCUUUUCAUUCAUAAAUCUAGUAAUAUGUUGUAUACUGCCAUUUGUAUCCAAGUUAUUUCUAGCAAGUUUAUGAUUAAAAGACUUCUCAGUUCUUGAAUCCGAUCGGGUUAAUAGUGCCCAACCAUGCAAAAGAUAAGUUGGAAUAUGCACUCGCAGCUUAAUAAGAUCUAAGUUCUAAUCUCUCGGGCGUACAAGAUUGAUUAUUCAAAAGUCCUUAGUCUCAAGGCAUAAAAAAGAACUUUAUGUGGACUUAAUCCAUCCACGACAAUCCUUGAUAACAAGAAGUCCGAAGUUGCUUGGGGCGCAAGUAAUCGACUUAUUUAUUAGUUUUAUCUCUGUUAUAUUAUAAUCAUCAUAGAACGUUUGAGAAUAGAAUUAAUUCUGAUAGGAAGCCUUAAGGCUUAUACCUAAGGCCCUACAAAGGCACCUAUUUGAGUUCAUUCUGCUCUUCAGGCUCGGGUGAUUAGAAGUAUAAUAGUUAUAAUACUCUGCAACAAUGAAACAACCAUUAUAUGUUCGAGUACUUGGUUAGUUCUUGAUUGUGAGCCUCAAGGCCUACACCUAAGACCCCACAAAGGCACCUUUCAUAACUAAAAUAGUCUAUCGGGCAUAUAUAAAAUUAAACUCAACAUCUGUUUUACAUCUGCCAUAUUAAAGAUGGCAGUGGCACGCCUGAGCACUUAAAAGUUAAUUUUGAUUGUGAGCCUCAAGGCCUACACCUAAGGCCCCAUAAAGGCACCUUUCAAAGUUAACUCUGUCAUUCUCUUUCAGCCUUGCCUGACAGGCCUUGCACGACAAGCCCACCAGUAAGCAGAAGCCCGACAGACAGUAUCAACCGGCGCCAACCUCUCGGGGAGCUGUGUGCUCGUUCGCUAAGAAACGUCCUCAUCGGAAAUUUUAGUGACGAACAUAGUUUUGGCACGCCCGGUGGGAUUCGUUAAUCAGAUCUUACUUGCCAAAGAAAUAUGUCAAGAAAACCUGAAGAUUUGAAAAGGGCAGUUGUUCCAGAAAAAUUUAAUGAAGACUUGCAAACUACCUUGUUGCAAAUGUUGCAGAGAUUGGAAAACGCCUCCACGGGCUUUAGAAGGAAAACAAACCUGGUUAUAAAACCAACUAUUCCUAUAUCUUUACCUCUAGUUGGGGACAAAGAUGAUGGGGAAGAAGAAAGAGGAAAAACCAGCCAGCCAGAGGAAGCAGUGGUGGAUAAAUACACAGAUCCUUUCUCAGAGGCCCUAGUAAAUAUGAUUAAUUUGGCAUGGGCCGAGAAGGGGAAAGAAAAAGUAGCAAUGGAAAUAGAAGAAGGAAAACCGGGUGACAAAUCCACAAAAGGGGUAAUCAAAGUGCCUGAACAUCCAAAAGCAGCUAUAAUCAAAGGGAUGGUUCUUUGCAGUAAAUGCCAAUGUGAGUGUGAGCUCGAAAUACCGCUAGCUGGAAUCCUCAUGGAUCAUGAGUUGAUCAGGAGGAAAGAAGAAGAAGAAAGAAAGGAGGCCCGCGAGAAAGCUAGGAGGACAACAGGGAGAGAUACUUCCCGAAGUGUUUUUCAGCGGUUAUGAGGUGAUUCCCAACCUAGAACUUUAUCAGAAAUAUUUCGAAAUCAUGAAGCUUCUGAGGAGGAGGAAGACAAGGAGGCCAAAAAUCCAAAAGAGAAGGGUAUAGAGCAUCCUCAAUAUGGCCAUAUGGGAAGAGAAGUCAAGAGGAAUGAUAGGAUAACAAAUCCUGUCAAAAAAUAUAAUCCUGCCCGCCUCGGGCGAAAAUGGUACAUGGUUGGAAAUAAUGGACAGCCCACCAAACAAAUGGGAGCCUCUAUGGUCAUAAGGGUCCAAAGGCAGCACAAAGCCUACAUGAACUUUUUAAAGAACCCCGCGACUUCUGAAGCAUCCAAGAAUCAAAAGUUUGAAAAAACAUCAUCUGGGGGGAGUAGUCAGUUCCACUGGAUAAGUAAAAAAGAGGUGGAGAGGGCUAAUAGCAAAACAGAAGGCGAGGGAAACCAUGUACCACAAAGCCUACAUCCUGGAAAGUACAAAAUAUUGAGGAGAGCUCAAGAAGAUAUGAUAAUGAUGCCAACUCCCGGAUGGAAGACAUAACCUAUUUGUUUUGGAACUGUUUCGCCCGAAAUGAGACCACUUUCUCUAUUUUUGGUGGAUUCUUUCGGUAAAAUUCCAAAGCAAAUACCGCAUUCGGGCAUGAAUCAACAGGAGGGGGCACCAGAACCACUACUCCCAAAAGAUGCGAUGACCUGGUUGGAUGAGUUCAUGGGCCAGAUCGAAAGCAAGAAAGAAGACCUUCCAGAGCCUAGCAAUUUUCAUAUCAAUAUGGCGUAUGUGUUAUCCGCCAUGUUUGGUGUCGAGCCUAAUCAGCCCGCCACUAUGGAAGGGGACUAUAUGACAACGGAGCCAAUGAUGGCCCAUGUCAGUGUUGAGGUAGCUGGAGAAAGAAAGUCGGGAAAAGCUGAAUCAUCUGAAGCAUCCAAUGAUGGUCCUUUAAGGAUUUAUACAGAUAAAAUGGUGUUCAGUCGCCCAAACAUGUUGCUAGCCAACCACCUUAAGCCAAUAUAUGUUGCAGCACAUUUGAAGGGGGUGCCUUUUAAAAGAAUUUUAAUUGAUGGAUGAGCGGCUGUUAACGUACUGCCAGACAAGCAAAUGAAGAAGAUGAGGAGAUGUAUAAAAGAUCUUAUUCCCACGGACCUCACGGUUUCAAGCUUCUCGGGCGCCAUCACCAAAACUCAUGGAAUAUUGCCCUUAGAAGUGGACUUGGGGUCCAAACAAAUCAUGUUGGCAUUCUUUGUGGUGGAUUGCACUUCCACCUAUAGAGCAUUACUUGGAAGGGACUGGAUCCACCAAAGUCUCGCCAUACCCUCCACUCUACAUCAGCAAGUAGUUGUUUAUCAUGAGACAGAGACAGAGGGACCAGGCUUUUGGGAGAUGGUAGAGGCCGAAUCACGGCCAUUUCUCCUUACAGCCAAUGUUGCGGAGGCAAGUUUCUACAAUCCCAACGUAGGAAUUCUGAAAUGUUCAUGAGCAGAUGAGAACGGCCGCCCUACCAAGGUGACGGCCCAAAAGCUCUUAGAACAAGGAAUGCUCCUUACUAGAGAGGAGUGGGAUAGACCCUGUAUCGUCUCAACGCCCCUACACCAUCAAUGACAGAACAAAAAAGGAAGGAUCAGGUAAUGGUAGUUAAGUCCCUGAUAAAAAAACUAUUGGUAUAUGGGAGAGAAAGAAAGCAAGAAAGGGAGCUCUUAGAGAAAGAAGAGCAGGAAGGGUAGCUAGGAACUCCAACCAACCAUGGUGAAAUCGGAGAAGAGCUUUACGGAGAAGAAUUGGAUGUGGCCAUACGAAUGGCCGAUUGCAUAUAUGACUUGGAUGGGCCAGACGACUUGCCCGAAAGCCCGGAGUUAGUUGAAUUUUUGUGCACAGAACCUGACAAAGCACUUCCAGAGGUUCAGGAUCCUUUGGAAGUCAUUGAUUUGGGAACAGAAUGAGAUCCAAGACCUAUUAAAAUUAGUGGCUUGUUAGAGACUAAUGAUCAGGCAAAGAUUAUCUGUCUUCUACAAGAAUUUAAAGAUUGUUUUGCUUGGCACUAUACUGAGAUGCCAAGUUUAUAUUCAACCUUGGUGGAACACAGAAUGCCCAUCAAUGAGGGGUAUAAACCUGUUAAGCAGACGUCACGAAGGAUGUCAAAGGAAAUAGAAGAAAAGGUCAAAGAAGAAAUUAAAAAACUAGUGAAAGCUGGAUUUAUUAGACUUGCCAAGUAUGUAGAAUGGUUGGCCAACAUUGUACCCGUUUUAAAAGUUAUAACUAAAGCAGUACGAUGUUGUGUUGAUUACAGAAAUAUUAAUGGCGCUACACCAAAAGAUGAAUACCCCAUGCACAUGGCUGACCUAUCCAUAGAUGCAGUGGCAAAACACAAAAUCUUAUCUUUUAUGGAUGGAAAUGUCCGGUAUAAUCAGAUAAAGAUGGCCCAUGAAGAUAUACAAAAAUAGUUUUUAGGUGUCCUAGGCAUGUGGGGCAUAUGAAUACCUGGUUAUGCUAUUCGGGUUCAAGAAUGCUGGUGCAACCUACCAAAGGGCAAUGAAUGCCAUCUUUCAUGAUUUGAUUGGCCAGAACAUGGAGGUGUACAUCGAUGACAUCGUGGUGAAAUCCAAAACAGAAGAGCAACAUCUAACAGACCUCAGGCAAGCUUUAACAAGGAUGAGGAUCCAUAAGCUAAAAAUGAAUCCAAAGAAGUGCGCAUUUAGAGUGAGAGCGGGCAACUUCUUGGGAUUCCUGGUUCAUAAAAAAGAAGUAGAAGUGGACAAGAACAAAUCUCGGGCAAUAAUGAAGUCGCCUUCACCCACCAACAAAGUACAACUUCAGAGGCUGCUAGGCAAAAUUAAUUUCUUGAGGAGAUUCAUUGCCAAUUUAGCGGGCAAGAUCCAACCACUGACUCUUCUGCUGAGACUAAAGGAUAAAGAAACUUUCGAGUGGGGACUACCACACCAAAAGGCUUUUGACAGCAUCAAAGCCUAUUUGACUUCUCCACCAGUGUUGGUACCACCUCAAAGGGGAAAACCCUUAAAGCUAUAUAUCUCUGCUUCAGAAAAAUCAAUCGGGAGUCUACUAGCUUAAAACAAUGAAGGCGGGAAAGAGCAGGCAGUGUACUACCUCAGUAGAAUUUUGACUGAGGUAGAAACAAGAUACUGACCAGUAUUUCACUCAUAUAUCUAGUAAUAUGUUGCAAGACGAUCAACCUUGCCCGACCCUCUUUGUUUUUGUCUUUUCAUUCAUAAAUCUAGUAAUAUGUUGUAUACUGCCAUUUGUAUCCAAGUUAUUUCUAGCAAGUUUAUGAUUAAAAUACUUCUCAGUUCUUGAAUCCGAUGGGGUUAAUAGUGCCCAACCAUGCAAAUGAUAAGUUGGAAUCUACACUCGCAGCUUAAUCAGAUCUAAGUUCUAAUCUCUCGGGCAUACAAGAUUGAUUAUUCAAAAGUCCUUGGUCUCAAGGCAUAAAAAAAAACUUUAUGUGGACUUAACCCAUCCACGACAAUCCUUGAUAACAAGAAGUCUGAAGUUGCUUGAGGCGCAAGUAAUCGACUUAUUUAUUAGUUUUAUCUCUGUUAUAUUCUAAUCAUCAUAGAAUGUUUGAGUAUAGAAUUAAUUCUGAUAGGAAGCCUCAAGGCCUAUACCUAAGGCCCUACAAAGGCACCUAUUUGAGUUCAUUUUGCUCUUCGUGCUCGGGUGAUUAGAAGUAUAAUAGUUAUAAUACUUCUGCAACAAUGAAACAACCAUUAUAUGUUCGAGUACUUGGUUAGUUCUUGAUUGUGAGCCUCAAGGCCUACACUUAAGGCCCCACAAAGGCACCUUUCAUAACUAACACAGUCUCUCGGGCAUAUAUACAAUUAAACUCAACAUCUGUUUUACAUCUGCCAUGCUAAAGAUGGCAGUGGCACGCCUGAGCACCUAAAAGUUAAUUUUGAUUGUGAGCCUCAAGGCCUACACCUAAGGCCCCAUAAAGGCACAUUUCAAAGUUAACUUUGUCAUUCUUUUUCAGCCUUGCCCGACAAGCCUUGCCCUACAGGCCUUGCACGACAAGCCCACCAAUAAGCAGAAGCCUGACAGACAGUAUCAACCGGUGCCAACCUCUCGGGAAGCUGUGCGCUCGUCCGCGAGGAAACGUCCCCAUCGGAAAUUCUAGUGACGAACAAGCCUAUUAAAACCAUUUCCAUCUAGUUUUAAAGUCUCUAAAGAAGGUAGACUCCGAAGGCUUUCAAGAAUGGCAUCAUCCGUUAUAUUGCAGUCACUAAGAUCUAAAUACUGAAGCAUCUUCAGUAGUGCAAAUAAAUGGUAACCCCCAGACACACCCUUACAUCUGUUGAGGCUCAAAUACACGAGAUGUGGGAGUUUUGAAAAGUCUGGUAAUUGAGUCAGGUUACGGGAAUGAUUGAGAUAAAGAAACAUCAACUUCUUCGGCAACUGUUUGGCAAAAAGAGAGAACAAAAAUCAUAAUCCAUAUUAUAGAGAAAGAGAGAUAGGGGGAGAGAGAAAGAGAGAGAAUGACUGUCGACUGGUAUUUAAAAAACACGGACGAGUAAAGGAUUAAUAAUUUGGUUGAGGUUAUGACAAUUAUAUGUAUCGUACCAGGUCGGAAUCCUCCCAAACUCGGACAAGCUUGUUGUAGCCCAAGUCAAUAAAAACUAAGUUUCGUAAAUCAAAAUCUUCGGGUAUGACCUCUAGAGGAAAUCCAUGCCAACACAAAAAUCUUAACUCCUUGGAAAGAUGACGGUAGCUUCCAGUGAGCUUUACAUAGUGGAGUUGGAGAAAUUUCAGAUGCCACAUCUUAUUAAAUGCUUUUGUGCGGAAGGGAUGGUCAUGAGUGUUUUCAGGCAACUCUAAAGUUAGCCCUCUAAUUGCUUCUGUUCCCUGUUAGGGGAAAACAAAAACAAAUCUAAUUCAAGCAAAGCCAUGACUAUCUAUGAAUGAACUACAAAUGCAGCACAUACAAUGCAUUAGAUAGGGGAUAUGCAUAUGCUUCUGUUUAUUUACAUACAUUCAACUUAUACAUUUUUUAUUGGGAUUUGGGAAAGUACUUACAUAUUCGUCUCUAAACACGCUUGUUAUGUCUUCAUGAUGCCACAAUCGACUACGUUUUCCAGGUUCCGUAGCACAUUCUACCCGCACAAUUUCUCUUCCCAUGUCUUGAAUCAAAUCAUGCAUCUUGAAGAAUGAUGAAUCAAAAUCUAGAAGACAUUGAUCUUGAAGAGUUCGGAUUUCUGAUUCUACACAAAAGCGACUACAAUUAUCCAAUAUUGCCACGACUUCAAUUCCAAAUGAGUUAAUAAAGAUAUGAGAUAUGUCAAGGAACACAAGCUUAAUCUAAGUGUUUCAUGAAUUUUUCCAUGUGUAAUGUUUCUCAAUUUAUCCAAUGUCAUUUUCCAUAUGCUUUUACUCUUUUUCAUAGCCAACAAAUGGCCUACGACUUUAAAAGCUAGCGGCAAUCCUCCACAAUAAUCGACAACAUCUGUUGCGAGUUCAAUAUAUUCUUUAUCAGGACAAUGAUUUCCAAACGCAUGCCAACUAAGGAGUUCAAGAGCUUCUUCAUCUGUCAUCGUUUGUGCCUUAUAAAUUUUAUCCACCUUCUGUAUAUUCAACACUUGUUCAUCUCUUGUUCAUCGUUUGUGUCAUCAACUACGAUUAGUACCUUCAUGCUUCCAAGUCUUUUCUCUAUCUCCUUGGUCCUUUCGGCAACACUACUUAUUUUAAUGUCAGGUCGUUUCAAAAUAUCUAGAAGAAAUUGUUCUUGAAGACUAAUCAUAUUUUUCUUUUUACUCCUCACCUCUUCAAGGUAACAUUGACCACGGAAACUAUGAUGGUAUGUGACAUAUGCUGCCCAUACACUGAAUUCCAAUUAUUUGAACGUCCUGUGAACCUCCAACAUCUAAGUAUUUAGUACCGAAUUCUUCCACGCUAAAAGUUAUUCCAACUGAGUGCUUGGCUUCUUUUGAGUUACUGGUUUUUAGUAGUCCGAUGAUGUCCCCAACAACUUUCUGGAUAAAUACUCCUUCACGCCUGCCAAUUGGAAAUCCAAAUUAUGCAAACAGAUGAUUAAUCAUGCAACAACAUGAUUCAUAUGAACUAAAUGCCUUAUGGAUCACGACUUGGCUGAUUAGUGAGUGUCCCAAAAUCUAAUUGUACAAGAUGUUGCAAGCGAUUAAAUUUUGUAAAAGAGGAAAUUUAACAUGAUACCUGUCCGCAGUGGUUUUAAGAUCAUUGCCAACCAAAUCUGUAGAAGCCUUAAGAUCUUUGCUCCACUGCUCGACCUCAUUUGGGUCUUCAUCCCUUUCAUGCUUCUGAAAUGCCUCCCCUCUUGAUCUUCUCGGCACCUCAUGAUCAUCGACAGCUCCCUCAGGCACCAUCGGGACUCCGCGUAACUCUUUGAGAAGACGACAACCGCAAUCUUCGACCCUUCAAUUUCUCAAUCAAGUUUUCUCUGUAUAUUCUCCCCCUUUUUGAGCUCGUAGUCUAUAAACAUGUUGAUUCCAGCACUGCUUAACGCAAUGGAUAGGUGGUUUGUGAACCCAGUGCGUGUGUCCUCGCCUCUAAAGCUCAGGAACACCUUGUACUUCCAGCGGUUUGAACGCCGAGAGGAAGACGAACCGCCGGCGGCUGCGGCGGCGGUUGCAAGGGCGGGGCUGCUGGUAUUCAUUGAUUUCAAGUAAAGAAGUGAAACUCCUGAUCGUUUCAGUCUAAAGAAAACAAGUCUUCCUAUGAUCCUAUCAUUUUCCUUUAUACAUCCAGAUAUCCUAAAAUUCCUCGCGUGGGCGGCAUUUUCUAUCCCUAUAUACGUGCAAAUUGUUAGACCGAGUCAAUCUUAUCCCAAACUAAGCUCUGCAACAAACUCUUCAUAGGAUAAGAUUGCUAAGUUCAGUUUCAGUUUUGAAUAAUUCAAAGAUAAACUGUUGUGAUUUUGUAUUUUUGAAUUCAAAGUUAUCAGUGUAAAUAGGGUAUUCAAAACCCUAUGGCUCCAUUAUGUGUCCUCCUAAGACUUUGGCUGGCACCACUGACGUUAACCCAGCCUACAUGACUUGGAUUCAACAUGAUCAGAUGAUUCUCAGUUGGAUCAACAACUCUCUCACUGCUUCUGUUUUGUCGACAGUAGCAAGCAAACGCAUGUGCCGUGCAAUCUGGGAAGCAUUGGAACAGCGGUAUGCGUCAACUUCCCAGAAUCGUAUAUUGUUUCUGCGUAUAGAACUGCUGCAGACGAAGAAAGGUGACCUCUCUGUAGCUGACUACUUGGAUCGUAUGAAUGCGAUCGCCGACAACCUUGCUCUGGCCGGACAACCAGUAAGCGAUGAUGAACUGGUUCAAAUUAUUUUAAAUAAUCUUGGUCCUGCAUUCGAGAUGACUGUGAAUGCAGCACAAGCUCGUGAUACUCCAAUCACUUAUCCAACACUUGAAGCUCUUCUGCUAACAACGGAGAAACGGAUGACGGAGCAAGCUGUGUUGAUUGAAACUGCUCCGAUCAAUGCUUUUGUAGCGUCACGAGGCCGUGGUGGUCGCUCUCGUGGCAAUGGACGUGGAGGCUCUCCGUUCAAUCGUGGUGGUGCCAUCAACAAUGGCAAUCAACGAGUUGGUAUUCCUCGCAAUAACAACAAUCAACGUGGUGGUGCGUCUGCAAGUACUGGUGACCGGUGCAACCUUUCUGGAGAACGCAUCAAAUGCCAAAUUUGUGGCAAACCUGGUCAUCCGGCUCUGGACUGUUACCAGCGGAUGAAUACAGCUUAUGAAAGACGCAUCCUCACCAAUCGUCUUGCUGCCAUGGCGUCUUCUCAAGUGAUGCCUAAUAAUGGAAAUUGGCUUCUUGACACGGGUGCCAAUGCUCAUGUCACCCCAGACCUUCAGAAUCUUGCAAAUCCAAAAGAAUACACUGGUAAUGACAACAUUGGUGGAGUAGGUAAUGGUUCUCAACUUUCCAUUGCACAUUCUGGUUCGAAUCAAAUUUCAACUAAGUCUUACUCAUUUAACCUCCAUGACAUUUUACAUUGUCUAUCCGCAUCCACUAAUAUCAUUUCGGCACACAGAUUCACCCUAGAUAACCAUUGCUACAUACUAAUAUUUCCUUAUUUCUUCCUUGUUAAGGACCUCAAAACCCGGAAGACGCUUUUCCGCGGGAGAUGUGAGAAUGGAUUAUAUCCAUUUCCUGGUGGCGGUGGAUUGUCCAACUAUCCUAUUUCAGUGUGUGUCGGUGUUAGAGUCUCACCUCAUAAAUGGCAUUUACGUCUUGGUCAUCCUGCUUCGUCAAUUAUUAAAUUUUUGAUUGCAAAUAACCAAGUACCAUCAUCUGGUACAAGUACUGUAACGUUUUGUGACUCUUGUCCAUUAGGCAAAAGCACUAAACUUCCCUUUAGCAAGUCUGUGUCCGUGUCUUAUUGUCCAUUAGAACUUUUGCAUUCUGAUGUUUGGAGUUCACCUAUUAUUUCUAAUGAAGGUUUUCGUUAUUACUUGUUGUUUGUGGAUGACUACUCACGAUAUUCGUGGAUCUUUCACAUGAAAAAUAAAUCUGAAGUGUUUGGAAUUUUUGUGACAUUUAAAACACAUGUUGAAAAAAUGUUUAACAAAUCUAUUAAAGCUCUUCAAUGUGAUGAAGGUGGUGAAUACAUGAGUCGCGAUUUCAAAACUUUUCUUGCUACACAUGGGAUUUCCCAACGUUUUUUCGUGUCCAAACAUCCUGAACAAAAUGGAAUUGCCGAACGAAAGCAUCGUCAUAUAGUUGAAACAAGUGUUACAAUGCUUCUCAUGCUCAUAUGCCUCAAAAAUUUUGGUUCGAUGCAUGUUCCACAGAUGUUUAUAUUAUAAACAGGCUUCCAACAAAGGUUUUAUCUAACGUGUCUCCCUAUGAAAAAUUGUUUCAAAAGAAUCCAAAAUAUAAGGCAUUUAAAGUGUUUGGUUCAAAAUGUUUUCCACUGUUGACUCCUUAUACACGGCAUAAACUUCAACCAAAGUCCAAACCAUGUGUUUUCUUAGGAUAUUCACUGAAUCAUGAAGGAUACAAGUGCUUGGACUUAUCCACGAGAUGCAUUUACGUGUCUCGCCAUGUUUUAUUUGAUGAGGAUUCCUUUCCUUUCAAGGAACUUGCAUCUCCCAAGGACGACGUCACUAUCACAGGUACACCUUUGACCCCUGACUUGAUUUUAACCACAACACCCUCAUCAACCUUGGUACCUUCCAUAUCUUCACCAAAUUUUGUCGAAUCUCACCCUAGCCUCAACCACCAGCCUGAGUCAAACUUGGUGUCUAGUGAUCAGCCGCAUAUCACGCCAACUUUUACUCCCCAGCAAACUGUUUCAAAUUUGGACCUUACUCCUCCUCCACCUAUCACUACCAUCCCUUGUUUAAAUAGGACACCUCAACCUAGUUCAACAUUAGGUCCCACCAAUGAGCAAGACUUGGUUCACAUUCCAUCCGUGCAAAGUUCUCAGAAUCCUUCUCAUUCAUCAAUUUUAUCUACCACAUCAUCUUCCAUACGAGAGACUACUCUCCCCCACUCAAUAACAACAAGGUCAAAAUCUGGGAUUCAAAAGCCAAAUCCAAAAUACGCUUUGCAUGCAAUCGCUGACUCCAAGUUUGUUGAGCCGUCUUAUUUUAGUCAAGUUAUUAAAUAUCCAGAAUGGAGGGCAGCAAUGGCACAAGAGUUCAGUGCUUUGCAAAUGUGUGGAACAUGGACGCUUGUUCCUUAUUGUCCUGGAAUGAACCUGCUGCCAAACAAAUGGGUGUUUAAAAUCAAGAGACGUACAGAUGGUUCUCUCGAACGUCACAAGGCUCGACUUGUGGCUAAUAGUUACCAUCAGCAAUCCGGAGUGGAUUAUAAUGAAACAUUUAGUCCAGUCGUGAAACACAGCACCAUUCGGCUUGUUUUAAGUCUUGCAGUGUCGAAGAAGUGGACGGUGCGACAGUUAGAUGUACAGAAUGCAUUCUUGCAUGGCUAUUUGGAUGAGGAUGUGUACAUGAAACAGCCGCCAGGUUUUCUUGAUCAGCAGUAUCCUAAUUAUGUGUGUAAAUUGCAGAUAAGUUUGUAUGGAUUAAAACAGGCUCCCAGAGCCUGGUUUCGAAGAUUCUCGGAUUAUCUGCUUCAACUUGGGUUUGAAGAAUCAUUAUGUGAUUAUUCAUUGUUCGUGUUUAAUCAACGAGGCGUUUACUUGAUCUUACUUAUCUAUGUGGAUGACAUUCUUCUUACAAGCAAUAAUGAUAAACAAAUGCAAUGGUUGAUAGAGAAGCUCGACACUUUGUUUUCUAUGAAGGACUUAGGUCCUUUAAGUUAUUUUUUGGGUGUCGAGGUUACUUAUUCUGGGGAGAAUAUGCAUCUUACACAGUCCAAGUAUGCGUUGGAUCUGUUGGAGCGCACCAAGUUUACUGCUGUCAAACCAGUAUCCACUCUUGUACCUACGGGACAAAAGCUCAGUCAGUAUACUAGUGAACCUUAUUCUAAUCCCGAAUAAUAUCGAACGAUUGUUGGAGCGUUACAAUACUUGACGAUCACCAGACCCGAUCUUUCUUAUGCUGUGAACCAGGUUUGCCAGUUCAUGCAUAUGCCUCGGACUACACAUUGGAUGGCGGUUAAGAGGAUUUUGCGGUAUUUAAAGGCCACACAUGAUCACGGUCUUGUCUACAAACCUGGUGAUAUUCGGUUAAAUGCUUUCUCUGAUGCUGAUUAUGCGGGAAAUCCGGACACACGUCAUUCAACUGGUGGCUUCUGUAUCUAUUUGGGCACGAAUUUGAUUUCCUGGAGUUCAAAGAAACAGAAGACUGUCUCAAGAUCUAGCACAUAGGCUGAGUAUAGGCAGCUUGCUUAUACUGCCGCUGAGUUGUCAUGGUUAGGAAGUUUGUUUCGAGAUCUCCAUCUCUAUCUUCCAUGGCCGCAGAUAUGGUGUGAUAAUGUUUCGUCCAUUGCUUUGGCUUCCAAUCCAGUUUUCCAUGCACGGACGAAACACUUGGAAGUGGACUACCAUUAUGUACGCGAAAAUGUGGUCCGUGGACAGCUUUUGGUUCAUUUUAUUUGCUCCCAAGACCAGAUUGCCGAUUUGUUCACCAAGGGUCUUUCCUCUUCACGCUUCAACUUGUUAGUUUCCAAGCUUCCCGUCGUUGCUCGACCUGUCAGCUUGCGGGGGGAUGUUAGACCGAGUCAAUCUUAUCCCAAACUAAGCUCUGCAACAAACUCUUCAUAGGAUAAGAUUGCUAGGUCCGGUUUCAGUUUUGAAUAAUUCAAAGAUAAGCUGUUGUGAUUUUGUAUUUUUGAAUUCAAAGUUAUCCGUGUAAAUAGGGUAUUCAAAACCCUACUUGUAAUCUGAAAGUAUUGUAUAAAUACACUGCGACCCAUCGUUAUAUGGGUGUGCAAUCAAAAGCUGAAAACCCUAGUGCUCUAAGUUUUACACAAAUAUCCCCUCGAUUCCCAAAUGUAGGCGGCAGUUUCUAUCCCUACAUACGUGCAGAAAUCCCCAAGAUUCUCCAAUGCAGGCGACAUUUUCUAUCCCUAUACGUACAGAUAUCUCCAAAAUUCCUCAAUGUAGCGGCAUUUUUAAAGUUUUUGCAUUGGUCAAUGAUGUCAAUAACGCGUGAGUGCUAUUCUUCCCACAGUUUAAUUUGUCAAAGCCAUACAAAAUAUAAAAUAAAAACCCUGAUGAGAAAUUUUUCGUUGUAACCGGAACACGGGAGGUAUACUACGUGUUUUUAUAUAAGUUGAGGAAAAUUUUAUUUUUUAAGUUAUUAACUUUUUAACACAUAUAUCCCACCAUUUAUAUAGUAACACGUGAUGUACCACCUCGUGUACCGGUUUCUCCUCUCUUUCCCGUCCCUCCCAUCUCUCUUUCGUAUUCUCAAUCUCUAUCUUCUGAUGGAGGUAAUCACAUACAAACUCAUUAUAUUUUACUUGAGUAAAUAUGAAUUAAUUUUUUUAAUUUGGUACGUAAAUUUAGGUUUUCGAGUAGAAUAAUGUUAAGGAGAUCAAAAUUUCAAAUUAAAUUAUCUAUCAUCAAUAUAUAAUAAGCACGUUAAUCAACAUUUAAGUAAUAAUUCAAUCAUCAACAACCACAUUAUUUGGUUCACAAAAUUAUAUUUAAAAUUUUGGUCUUCCUAACAUUAUCCUUUCGAGUGAACAUCAAUUCAAUGAGUAUUUUUCUUCUUUACUAUUCUUAUAUAGUUUGGGCCGCUAAAAUAUUACAUUAUUGUGAUUAACUAGCGAAAAAUACAAGUUAAAAAUGAAUGUGCAACACAUUGAAACACAGGAGCUCAAGGGCCUAUUUCCAAUGACAUGCUCAGGCCACCGAAUUUUAUGGGCUGGCCCUGGUUCAAUCGUUGUUGGUCGACGUCAUAAUGGCAUUAUAAGAAUCUGCGGUACAAAAUAGGUUCCAACUGUCGAUGUCAGUUUAGAGAGUUUCACCAUUCUCAUCUCAUCUUAACUUUUCAAAAUCUUUUUUGAAAUGUCAUUAAUUUUCCAAAAUUCUUAAUUUGUCAUCUCAUCUUAUCUUCGUUCAGUUUUUCACCCAAAUAAGUUGGAUUCAAGGUUAUUUUUACUUCGCAAAAUCCUUAUUAGUCAUCUCAUCUUAAAGAGUGCAAAUAAAUGGAUGAUGCAAAUCUUAAAAAUCUUAGGGCUCUAUCUUUCUAACUAUUUUAGUUCUAGAUGUGGUUUCUUGGAGCUCCAUGAUUGCGUGUUACACUCAUAAUGGGGAUGUAAUAGAAGCGUUAAAUCUUUUAAACGAAAUGAUUGACACAAGAUUCGAACCUAAUUCAAUGACUCUGGUAACUGCAUUCCAAGCAUAUGCACUGGCAGGUAAUUUAGAAAAAGGUAAGAGGAUCUACGAAAUUGCUACUAGGAAGUGUUUCGAGUUAGAUAUCACGGUAGCUACAGCCCUGAUUGAUAUGUACAUGAAGUGCUCUGCACCCGAAAAAGCAGGUGAUCUCUUCAAUAGAAUGGCAGAGAAAGAUGUGGUUUCGUGGGCUGCCUUGUUGAGCGGGUAUGCUCAUAACGGAAUGGCAUACAAGUCAAUUAGGGUCUUUCGCGACAUGCUAUCAGACACAACUCAGCCUGAUGCCGUUGCUAUGGUCAAGCUUCUUGCAGCUUGUUCGGAAUUAGGGAUUCUUCAACAAGCUCUCUGCCUCCAUGCUUAUGUGAUUAAACGCGCCUUCAAGAAUAACAUCUUUGUUGGAGCUUCACUCAUAGAGUAAUAUUCGAAGGGUGGAAGCAUAGACAAUGCUGUCCAAUUAUUUGAAGGCAUAACAGACAAAGAUGUCGUUAUCUGGAGCGCGAUGAUUGCAGGUUAUGGAGUUGAUGGACAAGGAGAAGAAGCUUUAAAAGUAUUUGAUCGGAUGGUUAAGCACUCAGAUGUCAAGCCUAAUGAUGUAACAUUUCUCUCGAUUUUAUCUGCGUGUAGCCAUUUGGGUUUGGUUAGAGAAGGCAUCGAGAUCUUCAACACGAUGUUGCACGAAUACCAACUUAAGCCCGGACCUGAGCACUACGGGAAUUGUUGAUCUUCUAGGCCGGACAGGAGAGCUGGACAAUGGAAUGGAAAUCGUUGAGAGAAUGCCAAAUCCAGCUGCAGCGCAUGUUUGGGGAGCCUUGCUUGGUGCGUUCUGGAUACAUAAGAGGUUGCAGCAGAGAGUCAUUUUCGGUUGGAUCCUAAUUAUGCAGGGUAUUACAUCCUGCUCUCGAAUGUAUAUGCCAUGGAUAACAAAUGGGAAAAUGUGACAAAUCUUAGAACUUUGAUAAAGGGGAAGGCGUUAAUGAAGAUGUCCGGGCAGAGCGUUUUCGAGGUGGAGAGUGACAUCCGUAGUUUUGUUGCCGGAGAUGGAUUGCACCUUGAUUCUGAUCAGAUUUAUGUAGUGCUAGGAAAAUUAGAUACGAAAAUGAGAGCGGAAGGUUAUGUUCCCAAUGUCGAUCUUCUGCUAACAUGACAUGGCGGUUGGUAUCUAGAUUUGAAGUGUUGUGAAAUUUCUUGUAGGGAAAGUUUCGACCCACAUGAAAGGCGUAAUGAUAUGGACGCAAUCACGGAAAAUAAUAUAAUCCGGUUAUAUUUUAAAUAAGCAAAUAUAUUUUAGAAAUGUUAUCAAUAACAUAACCCACUGCAAAACCAAACUGUAGCACACAAUUCAUCACUGCUGUGACAACUAAGACAUUCCAAAUCACACAAGUUUACAUACAUUAGAAUAAAAUCCACAGUUAAUCACUGUUAAAUAUCAUUACAAAUAAGUUAAUUUUAGUUGGAUGCAGCCAUCCAACAACCAUGAUCCUUCAGCGCCCAAUGUCGGAUUUUCAAAAGCGACGAAACUCCAGACAGUCUCCUUUUUGGCCAUGCUGCUGCUGCUACUACUACUGUUACCACUUGGAAGUUGGAUGCUCAGAGUUUAUUUUCCCGUGAAUGGUGCGACUCUUGCCGGAGCAUUCUCGAGGCCAGUCACCACAUAAACUUCAAUCUGAAAUCACAAUCGUCACAAAUUUGAAGUUUAACUCCACUACCAUUCUCUCAACACCAAUUCGAUAUAAAUUAAACAAGAAUUGCCCCAAUCGAAAAUUGCAAUGCCGUACCCACCCAAAAGAAAAAAAAAAAAAAAAAACAACUCAAAAGAUCGUAGGAAUCGACGAAAUUAAAAAAAUAUAUACAUUCAAAUUCCUAUUACAAUAUGAAAAAGAUGGCAAAAACACACGUCAGGGUUAAAGGGAUCAAUGCAAGAAAACCAACCUUUUCUAGAGAUCGCGUUGGGAUUUGGUAGAGCCGUCCUCAAUUGGGCUUACGGAGGAAGAGCCUAAGACCUUGAAAAGAAGGAGUAGCAUGUCGAUCCAGCCGUGGAUUAGCACGUGACCGGAAACGUGGAUCCAGCCGUGGAGCAAGUCGAUGUGGAGCGGAGUGCGGUUGUCGUAGUCGGCGUGGAGGCCUGACUCAAAACCGUGGGCAUUGUCUGGAGAAAGACAUUGCCUUCGUGCUCAGGGUCUUGGAUGAGAGGAUUGGGAGGAGGAUUCUCUAUCCUCUUAACUCUUAUGCAAAAACAGCCACGUAAGCAUAUAAUAGUAAAAAAUGACAGUAAAUUCUUUUCAACCGAGCUUUCAAUUUCCUACGUGACGCUGAGUCAAUUGAAAACAAAGUAUUUUGCUGUCAAAUUUGACUGCAGAUGUCAAAUUUAUUAAAUAGUUUUUCAAUAGAUUAAUAUAAUAUAUAAUAAAUGUUAUUGUGUUUUUCAAGUUUUUGAUUGGUUGUCUCAAUCACUAAACCCCACAAAAGAUUAAAAACUUUAAUAAAUAACAUUAUUAUUUGACAUAUCGGGGUGAAGCAAAAUAUUUCAUAAAAUGUCAAAUUGCCAUGUAAGCUACUAAAUAUCAUUUUGAUGUUUAAAAUUUGACACCUUAUUUGGAGAUGCUUUUAAUCUCUCUACCCUUACAUGCUCUCUUAUUUGAAUGAUUACGGUUAAAUCACGUCAACAUUUUAUAUUAAUUUUUUUAUAGAGAUAAUAAGAUAAAAAGGGAUGGAAUGGAGUGAGAAUAUGAUGGUAGAGAAUCAUCUUUUGAUUGGGAGAAAAAUUUUCUACCGUUCUAAUCUCUCUACCCUCUUGAUGCCUUGAAUUCAUUGGAUUGAAGUGCAAGACUUUAAGGCCCUGUGUUGGCAUAUCGGAUAAGGUACCGGAUAGUACUAUUAAUACGGAGUACGGUGUUUGGUGUCCGUUUGAAUUAAAUAACCACCAGAUUAAAUAAUCCGACCCCACCUCCUUUAUCCGGCUGAUACCCGCUUAGUUAUACCGCCCAAAACCUCGGUAUCAUUUAGUCAGGUAGAAACACGCCUCUCUCACUCUCUCCAUCCCGCAUUGCUUGCCCUCUAAUAUGAAUCUCAGGUUCUUCUCCUCCUCCUCCUCCUCCUUUGUUCCGCCCUCCUGCAACUUCUCCUCCUCCUCCUUCUCUAAUCACCGCGAACGGCGUAAGAGGACAAUCGCGAUGGACUGACGAAACUCGAAUGGGAGAAGCAUAGUGCUUCAAAUUACAGAGAGUUCCUCUCGCCGCUCGCUCUACUCCUCUCACAUCGCAUGCUUUCUCCUCUGAAUCCAAGGUUCUUCCUCCACUUCUGAAUCUGAGAUUCUUCUUCCUCCUCCCUGUUCCGCCCUCCUCCUAUUUUUCUUGCAAUUUUUCUUCUUCUCUCUGUUCUGCCCUCUUAUUUUUCUUCCAACUUUUUUUUUCCAAUCAAAUUGAAUCAGAUUGUUGUUUUUCUCUCAAAUUUUUGCAAUUGAUUUUAUAAAUUUUCAAUUGCCAAAGAACCCAUCUACCUCCUUUGGGUCAUAUCCUUCAUAACCAUUCUACUUUUGCUAGGCUGAUUUGUAGCUAAAAAAAAGAGAGGAUUGGGAAAACUAAAAAAAAAAAGAGGAUUGGGAAAAAAAAACGAUGAGAAUUUGAAAGGAGGGUUUUGCUAGGUUUCUUGUUGCUGCCUUUGUGGUGGGGUUUAGUUCAGGGUAGCAGACGGGGAAGAAGAAGAAGGGAUAGAGAGGGAGGGAGUUUGGAGGGGUGCGGCGGAGAGAUCUGGGAACAAAAGAGAUGAUUUCAGUUUUUUUUUUUUUUUAUAAUUUUGUUUUAAGUUUGAUACUUCAUAUCUGGAAUAAUACCAAACAUAGUAUAAAUAAUAUGAUCAUUAGUCUGAUACUGUACCAAACGACCGAUUAAUUUAGUCAGUACUAUCCGGUGACUAUUUAUCAUAUUCGACAAAAAUAGUCAGUACAAUCCGAGCUGUCAAACGAGGCCUAAGAAUAUAAGAGUUUGAUCAGCUAUUCAGAUUUAAUCCAAUAACUUAUAUUGAUCUGCACGGAAGGCCCACAAAAUGCAAUCCGCACUUUAGAAAUGACGUUUAGCCUACCGUAUUUGGGCUUUCUCUUAUGUAACUAUGUUUAUGUGAAAACAAAGUAACCUUUUUAACCAAAAGAAAAGAAACAAAAAAGAAACAAAAAGAAAAAGUGCUGACUAGGCCAUGGGGAAGUAUUCAAUGCCAGAAGAAAGUGGGGAAUGGGAAAGCACAAGCAUUCAUUGCCAAGCUGUAGCCGGACAAUGUCAGAAUAAAUAAAUCAAUAAAUAACUAGUUUCCACUAAAGUGGACGUGGAAAGGCAUCUUGAUUUUUCAAAAAUUAACAAAAAAAAAAUAGCACUGAACACUUGCCCACGUGACAAGGUAUUCCAACCGAGUGGUUGACUGGUUUGUAGUCUCUGGAUUGUGUUAGUCCGAUUAUGCCCCCAAAUUGAAAGUUCAAAAUUUUUCUUAUCUAUUUAAGUGACCCGCUUCCCGAACUCGAAUCAUCUCUUGACAACUGGCCCUUAAAUAUGUAUCCUACUAUUAUAAUUAAUUUUAAUCUUUUUAAUGGAUUUCUCUUCUCUCUCCUUCCGUCUUUUCUUUCCCUUUCACUCCAUCUUCACUCCAUUAGUGGCUGCUCUCUCACAGAUGAAAAAUUGAAGCAAUAGAAGUAUCUGAAUGAUUAUACCAAGGCAACAUUUGUCCCGGAGAGCGAGAUGGGUGGAAGGCAGAAAAUUAAAGGAGAACUAAUAAAAAUGACUUGAAAGCUUUAAGUUUUAAUGAUAGGAACAAAAUAAAAGGGAAAGUAAAUAGUACUAUGAUUGACUUUUUAGUAUAAAAAUGUGGUUUUUCGUUAAAAUAAACCGUACCGGAAAUUUUUCGUUAAAGUUUUCAAAAAUUAAUUCCAAUUUUUUGCUCAAAACCAAGCCAUUAUGUUGUUGGUCUCAACCAUAAAUCAAAUAACUCAACAAAUUAGACGUCCCAAGACCCAAUCUUUAUCCCUGACCUUCAUCCCAAAACCUUGACUUCUUUAAUAAUUUAAAAAAUGAAAUUUCCCACCACAUCUAUUAAAACACGCGAUGUACAACUUGUGUUUCCGUCGCAAUUAAAAAUUUCUCAUGAUGGUGGAGUGCUUGUGUCGAUUAUAACCGACAACAAUGUUCUGUCAUCCGCCACUAUUUAAACACUGCAAAUAUUUUAUCCGACAUUAAUCAUUUAAAACCGCCACAACCUUCUGACACAUUAAAGCCAAUUUUGUAGUAGUGUUAGGCCAUCUCCAACCGAUGGCUGGCCAGAGGGCUCGUUUGAGCCCUAUGACCCUCCAAGAUUCUCCAAGAUAUUAAUAUUUUAAUGAACAAUACAUGGCCAUAUUUGCCUUCGUCUCCAACCGAGGGCCAAAGGGCCAGAUGACUCGUUUUAGCCCUCUCGCAAAAAACCAUCUACAACCGAGGGCCAAACAUAAUUUAUUAUUUAAAAACUACAACUUAAAUUCAAGUUAACUAUUUAAAAAUAGAAGUUAUAGGAAAAAAAAAAGAAUUAAAACAAAAUAUGAAACAAAUUUUGUGAAAUAGAAGUUAUAAGAAAAAAAAUAGAAUUAAAAAAAAUAUGAAAAAUAGAAGUUAUAAGAAAAAUUUGUAAAUAAAAAAUAAUAAUAAAACUGUGUAAAAAAAAAUCAAAUGCAAGCUAGCCGUUGUAUUCAAAUUUUUUGAAAUAAAUUUGUGUCGGUUAUAACCGACACAAAUAGUAGUACAAAUUACUAUUAGUGUCGGUUAUAAACGACACUAAUUGUAAACAAUAAAGCAUAGCGGGACCAAUUAUGUCGGUUAUAACCGAAUAAUUACAAAAGACUAAAUAAUUACUGUCGGUUAUAACCGACAGUAAUUCCGACGCAUUUAAAAAAAAGAGUCAGCCAGCCAGCCCUUUGGCCCUUUAGGAUUCUGUGGGACCCUCUCAGAUUCCAAAGCCCUCUGGCCUGGCCCUCGGUUGGAGACGGUUUUAGGACUAUUUUCGGUCCUCUGGCCCUCUGGACCCUUCAGUUGGAGAUGACCUUAGGCUCUUAUUUUGGAGUAUGUAAUACUUGAAAGACAAAUGUUUUUUUAAGGUUUUGAAAUAAUAUUUAUGUGACAAUGUGGUAUACAUAUACUAAUUUAGUAUUAUGUUUUCUAUUUUUUUUGGUCAAAUUAUGCUUUUCAUCUUCAUUAUUUAGGGAUUUAAAAUAUAUUUUCUUUAACGGAUAAUGGAUCGAGUCAUAUUAAAUGAUAAUAUUAACGGAUCAAUUUCGGGUCGGAUCAUAUUAUCGGUUUACUUUAACGGAUGUUACAUGACACGAUUCAUUAAGAUAUUAGGUAUAUCAUAAAAUCGAUACGAACGCAAAAAAUACGACACGAAUAUCAAAUCUAGCUUUUAGCAUACUCUCCCCGUACCUUUCUCAUGUUUUUACACCCAAAAAGUAAAUGAUUAAAGAGAAUAAUUUUUACAUGCCUUCUCUUUUUACUUCUUUUGUUUCUUUUUUCAAAAAAACACAAAAAAGGUCGAAUUAUGCCAAAACUGGUAGGACACUGCCCGACCAUAUGGCUUUUGAGCGCAUUAGAGCAACUCCACCCAUGUGGAUUGCUCGGGGGAUAGGGGAGAAGAAAGGGCCUGAGGCCCGGUCGACAGUGCUCCAGCCAUGGAGAGCCCGAGUGAAGGUGGGAGCCCGAGCACAAGGCCCGUCAGGAAUCCACCAGCCUGCAGCCCGAGGGCCAGACAUUAUUUAAUUUUUUUUGUGUCAGCCCGAGGGCCUGCAGCCCCAUUUCCAAUGUUUUUAUUUUAUUUUAUAUUAUUUAAACAAACAAAAAAAACUAAUAUUUUAUUACAUAUUGCCAGGGGGAGGGCUCCAAGGGUGGAGAUGCAAAAGGUAAUUACUGUUCAUUAAUGGUAGUUACUAUUCAUUAAAGGCAGUUACUGUUCAAUAUGGUGGAUUCAAUAGUGAAUUGCCAGGGGGAAGGGCUCAAAGGGUGGAGUUGCUCUUAUGUUAGAUGACUUUGGAAUGGCUAACUGGAUUGGCUGCUGACUUUCUUGAUUGCUCCAUAGUAGUUUGGUUUAGAUUUUUGUUUAAAAAUACCAAAAUUAAAGUUUAAUGGUUAAAAUAUCAUGAGUACUGGAUACUUCGGACGAAUCUGACCACCAAAGAAUUUUUGGUUUGGCUGUUUUAUUAUUCUCUCUCAACAUUUUAUAACAAAAAAAAAAUUGGUUUGGCUGUUUUGUUGUUCUCACUCAACAUUUUACAACAAAAUGAGGGGAACACCCUCCCUCCUCCACUGAUUUUUUUUUUUUUUUGAGAAAUGGAGAAUAUCAUUAACGAGGGCCAAAGCCAAAAGGAGGAACAGAAAGCCACACAGGCUAACAACAUCUGAAAAGAGCAACACAUAAAGGGUAAGAACACGACACGGAGCCAACAUAUGUCACCCUUACAACUACAAACUAAACUACAAAUUGGACGGAGGGCAAGGAAGACCAUCUUUGUUCAAGAUACGAACAAACGAAGAUGGGGGUCUACGGACCUAAACGAAAUCGCACAUCUCUGUCCCAAUAAUCCACCGCUUCGUUAGCUGAUCUUGGCACCUAAGGACAAUCACAUGAAUAAAAAGUUUCACCUUUGUACCGUAUCUUACAAAGAACAUGGAAUAGCUCCCACGCCAUUUGCUCAAUACACCAGUUCAACCAAUCAAUGAUCCCUUUUGAGUCCGACUCAAUCACAAUACGGGAGAAUCCCCGCUGCCUUGCCAUGCAACAACCCUGCAGCACUCCCUAUGCUUCUGCCAUUUGGGCAUUCAUAGCUCUGAUACGCCUCCUUCUAACUGCCAAGCACCAAGAUUCAGAAUCACGAAUCACCACCCCAAUAUGGCAGAAGCCAACCAUCAGCUUCCCGCUAGCAUCCACAUUUACCUUCGUGAUCCCAGGAGGAUGAGGAGGUUCCCAACCACUAACGAUAACCCUCUUAGAGCCUCGUUGUACUCGAUCAUCAGAAUGCGCCUCACAGUAACCAGUGUGAGCAGACUCGAUAGCUUUAACAGUACUGGUUGGGGAUGAGAAGUGAGACCUUGCAUCUAACCUUCCAUAUUUCUCAGCAUGCGAAGGUUAUGUACGACAUAGUUUCCCUUCUAACCUCCCCACCCUAGGUAGAUUUUGCCAAAUUGAAACCACCCAUGAAUGGAAGGAGGUUACCCUACUUUUAUCCACCCUUAAUCCCAAUGGGCCACCAAACCACACCUGAUCCACCCACAGACAUAAAAUAAAUGCAUGCUCGAUCAUCUCCUCAUGUUCACCACAAAAAGGGACAAGGGUGAAGACACACAUCGUCGUCUAAAUAAAUCUCGUUUAGUAGUUGUCGCCCCCCUUAGUGUAUGCCACAUAAAGUCCUUUAUUUUGUGAGAGAUCCAUAAGUUCCAUAUGCACUUCCACACCCAAAAGUCGACCGACGAUGAUGUAGAAGAUGUUAGUUGCUGACUUGACAAUUCACUGUGUGGAUCCAAUGGUAUCCAGAUUUGACGGUAUAAUGUCCCAUUCUGUCUGUUAGCCAAACUAGCAUAUCCUUGCAGUUAGCCCCGCCUAUUGGCGUAUCAAGGAUGGCAUGAUGAUCUUCAGCCGAGACCUUCCUAUCUAUAAUAGCCUGAUGCCAAGACCUAGUAGACUGAUCAAUCAAAUUCGAGACUCUUAGGUCAGGGUUCAUCAAAACCCCCUGAGCAGGGGUAAGGUGCCCCGACUGCAAAGUUGGGAUCCACCAAUUGGCCCACACCCGUGUGUUCUCACUAUUCAAAAUCUGCCAAUGCACACCCUGAGAGAUAAUGUCCCUUCUCAUCAACAGGCUAGCCCAAGGCCAGGAAGAUCGACCCCAUUUUUAAGCCUAAAAAAUAGGAGCAAUCCGUGAAGUAGCUCUGCUUGAUAACCAGGGCCCAAAGAGAGUCUAGGGAAUGGAUCAGACGCCAACAUUGCUUGGCCAAAAACACCAUGUUAAACUUCUUAAGGUUACAGAAGCCCAUGCCGCCCUCAUGCUUCGACAGACCCAAGUUUUCACAACUCACCCAAUGUAUCUUUUGUUCCCCCUCUCUUUGACCCCACCAUAAUUUGGCCAUUGCCACAUCAAUAUCAUUACAAAUAUUGUCCGGGAAACAGAAUAUGUUCAUUGGGUAAGCAGGAAUUGCCUGAGUCACUACUUUUAUCAAAACUUCCAUACCGGCUUGGAUAAGAAACCCUGCUUCCACCCUUGAAUCUUUGCUAAAACCUUGUCUUUUACAAAAGCUAGUGCCUCCCGCUUCGUUCUUCCACACACUGUUGGGAUUCCCAAAUAGUUUCCUGGAUCCUGAACCUGCAGCAUACCCAGGAUGCUCACCAAUUCGUUCGGGAGUUCUCCCGGGGUGUUGGCACCAAAGAAAACAGAUGAUUUUUGCAUGCUAACUUCUUGACCUGAGGUAGUGCAAUAGGGCUUUAAGAGGUGGGUUAUGUUCUGACAGUUGGGCCGUGUUGCACGGAGGAAUAUAAGCGUAUCUUUUGCAAACAAUAGAUGGGAUAGACACGACCCGUUCAUACUUAACUGAAUACCUUCAAUAAAACCACCAUCCACCGCACCAUUAAUUAGCCUCGAGAGCACGUCUGUAAAGAUGAGGAAGAGAUAUGGAGAUAGGGGUUGCCCUGCCGGAGCCCCCGCGACGGCUUGAACUUUCUCCUUGGUUAUCCAUUCACUAGGACCGAGAAAUCCACAGUGGAUGCAUAUCCCAUUACCAACCUUAUCCACAUCCCACCAAAACCCAUUCGGAUCAUGACUGCCUUCAAGAAAUCCCAUUCAAUCCUAUCAUAUGCCUUAUUCAUAUCAAUCUUCAUAGCUAGCUCAAAUUUAGUUUUCACUUUCCAAAGCUUGAGAAAAUGGAACACCUCAUGGGCCAUUAAAAUAUCGUCCUGGAUCUGCUGGCCCUCCAUAAACGCGUUCUGGGUCGGGGAUAUGAUUCUAGGUAACCAAUGCUUUAAUCUAUUGGCCAGCAGUUUAGAGAAGAUUUUAUAAGAGUAAUUACAUAUCGGCCUAAAUUGACUCACCGAGGAUGGGUUUGCAACUUUUGGAAUAAGGACAAUGUGAGUGGAGUUAACUUCCUCAUGAUCUCCCUUCCGGUGGCAAAAUCCUCCACCAACCCAUUCACCUUUUCCCUAAUAAUAUCUCAAAAGGAUUGAUAGAAGACCCCCUAGAAUCCAUCUGGGUCAGGCGCCUUCAAACCACCAAUUUGGAAAACCGCCUCCUUUAUCUCUGUCAAAGAAAAUGACUCACAAAGCUUAUCAUUCAUUUCCUCUGAGACCGAUGAAUGAAUAUAGUCAAAGACUUGACCCCACUCCCUCAUGCCCCCCCCCCCCCGACGUAAAAAGACCAGUGAAAUGGUCGUUUAUCACCCGUUUGAUUCCUUCGCUAUCUUCCUGCCACACCCCCCUCCCAUCUUGCAGCUUUGCAAUUCUAUUAAAAUGUCUUCGCUGAAUUGUGGUUUGGUGGAAAAAAAACGAGAGUUUGAAUCUCCUUCUUUGAGCCAUUUUAUACGGGAUCGUUGCCUCCAGAAUAAUUCAUCCCAUUCAUCUAGCUUUUCAAUAUUGGCAACAAUGGCUCUAAUCUCCUCCUCGUUUUCCUCCCACUGACCUUGAAGAUGUCCACUGAUUUUUCUUUAGUACCUGCAUGCAUCACCUUCAAUUACAAAGAAAGUAGGUAAAAUUCUUCUAUACUGAUUUUUCUAGACUACAUACAGGCACUGAGUGCCGAUCCAACAGUUCUCGAUUGGUAAAAUACGUGUUGGCACUAAGCGCCUCUAGAUGCUAAAAAUAAAAAAUAAAAAAAUUGCUCAUCCACUGCAUUAGCACAAAAUUUUGGGAUCAAAAUUUUAUUUUGCUUUGCUAUUUUCUUUUUAACAAACGAUAUUAUCUACACUAAACUAAGGGAAAGUGAGGUAGGCUAAGCCUUAUAAUAGGCUGCAAUAAUGUGGUUCAAAUUCAACUUUUGCGAGAAUUAAAUCUAAGACUUCUUACUUACAAAUGAAGAGGAAUAUCACUAGAAUGUAUACUAAGAGCAACUCCACCCUUGGUGGUUGCUCGGGGGACAGGCGAAGGGAAAAGGCCCGAGGGCCGGUGGAUAGGCCUCCAGCCUUGGGCAGCCCGAGUCAAGGUGGGAGCUCGAGGGUUAGGCCUGUGGAGAAUUGACAGCCCGACAGCCCGAGUUGUGUGUGGGGUCAGCCUGACGCCAGGCCUGGCGUCGGUGGUUUUUUUAUUUUUUUUGUGUCAGGCGCGUGCCCCUCACUCGCGAGUGGGGGCGCGUCAGCCUACAAGUUUACAGGGCAUAGGGCCCGCGCCCCAGGAAAUGCAGGUGACUGUUGGGAAGCCACGUGGCUUCCCACGGUCCGUUCAAUCCCAACAGCUCUUUAAUACGAGCCGUUCGAUUUCCAACGGUAAUAAAAAAAAAGCUGAUUUAAUAUCAACCAUUCGAUCUGAGAUCAACGGUUGAUGUUAAUCUGCUUUAUAAAUUUAAAAAAGAAAAAAGAAAAAAUAGUUUUAAAAUUAAAAAAAGUUACCGUUGUGACACGUGGCGUAAUCUGGAGUGUUGGAAUUCAAUUUUUUUAAAUCCAACGACAGAGUUUAAUUAUUUGAAUAAAAAAAAUUUAAAAAUUGUAAAAAAUCUGAAAAAAUAUCUGAAAAUUUAAAAAAAAAAAAUUACAUAAGAGAAUCUUUAUUCAAAUGACAUAAACACACCAAAUAAAAAACUCACGAAAUGAACACCAAAUAAAACAUACCAAAUAAAAUUACAUAAACACCAAAUAAUAAAAACCUCACUAAAUGAACCAAAAUAAAACACACCAAAUAAAAUUACAUAAACAUACCAAAUAAUAAAAAACACACUAAAUGAACUUUAUUAUCUUCAGCUUGUUUCAAUGCCCACUGGUACUCUAUCAAGUCAUUUUGCCUGGCAUUGUGCAUGUCUGGCCUUUGAAAUGCAGUAUAUCGUUGAAUGACCCUUUCAUUGUAACGUUCAUCCCUUUCUAAUGGCUCAUGUUGCACGGGCUCAUCGGUGGCAUCAUGAGCACAAUAUAUAUGUGUUCUUGAAUUGUUCAUCGUGUCUGGCUCAUAUUCAUCAACAGCUUCAUAAUCGUACUCAUCUUCCACAAUCAUGUUGUGAAGAAUGAUGCAUGUCAUCAUGAUGGAUCGAAGCGACUCUACAUCAAACAAUCUGGCAGCAUCCCUGACGAUCGCCCAGCGAGCUUGAAGGAUACCGAAACAACGCUCCACAUCCUUCUUGUAUCCCUCUUGACACCUUGCAAAGUGUUUUUCCUUUGCACUUCGCGGACGUGGCGCUGUUUUGACAAAUGUUGACCACCUUGGGUAAAUGCCGUUAGCUAGGUAGUAUGACCCGUUGUACAUACGUCCGUUGACCUCAUACGUGACUUUUGGUGCCUUUCCGUGCAGGACAUCAUUGAACACUGGGGAUUGGGUAAGAACGUUGAGGUCAUUUUGAGCUCCCGGAACCCCGAAAAAUGAUUGUCAAAUCCAUGUAUCAAAAGAUGUCACCGCCUCCAAAAUGAUAAUUUUUGCUCAUUUUCUAUCUCCAUAAGCGCCUUGCCAUGUACUUGGACAUUUUUUCCACAUCCAAUGCAUACAAUCAAUGCUCCCAAUCAUUCCAGGAAAACCUCGCAUCUCGGCAUUCUUCAGAAGCCUUUCCAAGUCCAUGUGAGUAGGUUUUCGGAGGUACUCUACGGUGUAGAUAGAUUCGAUUGCUCCGCAAAACCUCAUCAGGGACUCAAGAAUGGUUGAUUUCCUCAUCUUCGUUAUCUCAUCCAUUUGGUCUACAGAUGCUCCAUACGCAAUGCUCCAUACGCAAGCAUCCGCAGCGCAACAGUAAUUUUUUGCUCGGGAAGGAGACCCAUAGCACCACAUGCAUUCUUCUUUUGCUGAAAGUAAGAAUCAUGGUUGCAAACCGCAAUCAUGAUUUUGUUGAACAAAUGUCGUUCCAUUCUAAAACGACGUCUGAAGUACGUAUCAGGAAAUGCACUAUUAUGGACAAAAUAAUCGUCCAACUGCUCCACACCUCGUUGCUGCCUCCUUCUAUCAAGGUUUCCGAAACGGGUGGGCCUGUAUAUCUGAGCCACAACUUGGAUGACUCGACGGGAAUGUGAGUCUCUGGCCAUUCUUAAUUCGUCAUCUCUCAUUCUCCGCUCCUCAUCCUCUUCCUUCUCAUUUUGGGCUAUAUGGAGAUUGAAUAUUCCUUCAGAUUAGAUAAACAAUUCUUUCUCUUCUUGAUCGAUUUCCCACAUCAUGCUUGAAGAAGAAGACAUUGUAAGUAGAAACUAUAAAUAAUGAUACAGAUUUUGAUUUAGUGAAGAAGGAAGCAGAAACUAUGAAUAAUGAUAAAGAUAUUGAGAAAAUUGGUGUGAGAUUUAAAAGGAUGGAUGAUGGAUUAUAUGAAGGAUUCUGAAAUGAUUAGGUUGUAGAUAGUGCCACAUGGCAUGCCGUCAUUCGUUAAAAAUCUCAUCGAAUUCUAUCCUAAAAGAUUCUGAAAAGAUAACGACACGUGACACGACGACAUUGGAUAAAAAUCUUAUCGAAUCUAUCAUCAAUAAUUAUCUUUUCGGAUAAUGACAUGUGACGCAACGAUAACGAUUUAAAAUCUGAUUGAAAUCUAUCCUCAAAGAUUCUGAAAAGAUAAUAACACGUGGCACGAUGACAUUGGAUAAAAAUCUUAUCGAAAUCUAUGACCAAUAAUAGUCGUUUUGGGUAAAUGACAUGUGGCGCAUCGAGAACGAUUUAAAAUAUCUUAUCCGAAAUUACAAAUAAAUUUAUUUAGUAUUAUUUUGUAAAAAAAAAUUAAUAAUAUUUUACCAGGACUAUUCAAGUGCAAGGGUGGAGAUGCAAAAAUCAGUUACUGUUCAUUAGAGUAGUUAUUGUUCACAUGGUGGAUUGCAUAGUGGAUUGCCUGGGGAGAACUUCAAGGGUGAAGUUGCUCUAAUUGACAUUUUGUUUUGCUCUUUUACUCACUCUGUUUCUUGGCACCUACUACGUAGGCUAGCGGUACUGGAAACUUAAAGCACGCACAAGGAUCAAGUCCUUGAAAAAACAGAUCAAUCAUGUUACUCAGAGGUGAGAUCACCCGUUUUUUUCUUCCUUUUAUGUACAAUGAAUUAUGCAAACAUAAAACAUAUACUGAUACAAUUUGAUGUUUUCCAAAAAUAAAAAAUAUCCAUUCCUGCAGUUGUAAGCAGUUUGAUCUUCACACAGAAAAGGAAGGCAAUGCAAAUUUUCCCCGAAAGCGUGAGAGAAGCGUGGAACGAGUGGGAGCUUCGGGCCAUGGUUUUAAUCAGCCUUGCCUUGCAAACCAUCCUCAUCCUGAUCGGCAACUGGAGAAAGCAUUCAACCAGCAACAUACUCCGAAUUGUCCUCUGGCUCGCUUACUUGUCAGCUGACUCCGUAGCAACCGUCUCACUCGGGAUUCUCUCCAGCAACCAGGAAGACUCCGAAGGUGAUUCUGUAAACCCCAACUUUGUUAUAACAGCAUUCUGGGCACCGUUUCUUCUCUUGCAUCUCGGCGGUCCAGAUACGAUUACUGCUUACUCGUUGGAGGAUAAUGAGUUGUGGCCUAGGCACUUGCUUGGGGUAGUUGUCCAGGUGAUUGUAGCUUUGUAUGUGUUUAUAAGAGCAUGGUCUAGUAAAAUGUUGAAUUUUUUGGCAAUUCCCGUUUUCGUAGUUGGAAUUAUAAAAUUUGGGGAGAGGACUUGGGUUUUGAGGUCUGCAAGUAGUGAGCAUUUUCGAGAGUCUAUGCUCCCUCCUCCGGACGCAGGUCCGAAUUAUGCUAGAUACAUGGAAGAAUACAGCUCAAAGAAAGCUGAGGGGUUUAGGGUUGAACCGAAAACAUUCAUUGAAGCUCCCAUAGGUUUUGAUCAUUCCGAUGCAGUUCAAGCUAAUGAAUCUAGUAGUGCCCAAAAUGCUGCAGUUUUAAACAAAGCUUAUAGUUUCUUCGAAACUUUCAAGCGGCUGUGUGCCGAUCUCAUCCUCACCUUCCACGAUAUAGAAAACAGCCAAUCGUUCUUCCAACAUAGAAGCUCUGAGGAAGCUCUCGAGGUUAUUGAGUUCGAGCUAGGGUUCAUGUAUGAUGUGUUUUAUACUAAAUCACUUCUGGUUUAUUCUGGUCUUGGUGGAAUACUCCGUUGCAUUACUCUUUCUUUCACAGUUUGUGUGUUCCUGGCCUUCGUGUUGAUCACGGAGAAGCAAGAAUACAUGAAAGUGGAUGUAAUUAUCACAUACAUAUUGUUGGUAGGAGCUAUUGUCUUAGAAUUUUAUGCAGUUGUCAUCCUACUUUCAUCGGACUGGACCCUGCUGUGGCUGAGCAAGCACAAAAACACAGCAGUAGAUCUCUUGCUCAGAUUGGUUUCAUCAAUCGCUUUGAUAAAAAACAAGAGGUGGUCUAAUACCUUGGCACAAUACGACCUCAUAACAUUUUGUCUCAAAGAAAGGCCAGCAAAGUGCAUUUUCAUCAACGAGGACUGGUUUAUAAAUCGGUUACUAGAGAAGUAUCGAUACAGAGACUUGAAGGAUGUUUCCAAAGAGUUGAAGAAUUUGAUAUUUGGGCAGCUGCUAGAGAAGUCGAGGACUGCUUCUAAUUUCGAGGCCAGCAAACGAAAAGAACUAUGUGCUCGAAGGGGUGACAUGGUGCUUGAGAAAGCAAAAUGUCUAGAUGAACUUGGCUGGACAAUUAACGGGGCCGAAUUUGAUCAAAGCAUCCUUCUUUGGCAUAUUGCGACAAAUCUAUGUUACUAUUCUGAUCUGGAAUUUUAUCAUAGUCCAAAUUCUGAAGCCAGCAUUCUUAAAAAAAAUUCUGAAGCCAGCAAGGUGUUAUCAAACUAUAUGUUGUAUCUUUUGGUGAUGUGCCCCUUCAUGCUGCCAAAUGGGAUUGGACAGAUAAGGUUUAGAGACACCUGUGCCGAGGCUGAGGAAUUUAUCACCGAAAGAAAGUCCAUAAAGAAUAGAGAAACGGCCUGCAAAAUGUUGCUCAAAGUGAGCACAGACAUCCUUCCAUCGAAAGUGAAAGGAGAUAGAAGCAAGUCGGUUCUAUUUGAUGCAUGCAGGCUUGCUAAAGCUCUGCAGUUCCUUGAGUCUAAGAAACACUGGGAGAACAAUGAGAAAAAAUGGGAGUUUAUAAGUCAUGUGUGGGUGGAAAUGCUUGCUUUCGCUGCCAAUCAGUGCCGGUGGAGUGAUCAUGCUCAGCAGCUCAGGCGAGGAGGAGAGCUGCUCACUCAUAUCUGGCUUCUUAUGGCACAUCUUGGUUUAACUGAACAGUUUCAAAUUUCAGAGGGCCAUGUUAGGGCAAAGUUGAUUGUGGAGUGAAUUUAAGUGUCACUCACUACAAAGAAUGAUCCAUUUUCAAGAUGUCCUAACUAUGUUAUGCUUUUCAGAUUGUAACUCUGUAGUCCGACCAUAGACCGGAUUUUCAAUAUUGCUUAGUUAAUGUGCUGAUAUUAUUAUUCCCCCUAAACAUAUUGAUAAAUAACGAACAUUCUACAUUGAUAAUUUCUUAUAAAUCAUAUCGGACUUCACUUAUGUAGUAACGAUUCAUAAUUGGAGUGUAACUAAAAAUAAGAGGACUCGCCAGGUAUAAAUUACUUGGUAAAUAGACAGUUUGCAAUUACGAGAAAACAUUUAUCCUUGUAGUUCUUGCAAGGCCAUGGCUUGCCCUACAACUACAACAUCAAACUCCAAGUUGCUGACUCAAAUUAAUUGUCUAGGGGUGGACAUAAAAGCCGGCCAACGGAAAACACAUUAGAGCAACUCCACCGUUGGAGCCCUCCCCCCAGGCAAUACACUAUGUUAUCCACCCAGUGAACAGUAACUGCCCUAAUGAACAGUAAUCCCCCAGGCAAUACACUUUUGCAUCUCCACCGUUGCACUUCAAUAGCCCUGGCAAUAGGCAAUAAAAUAGUAGUAUUUUUUUAUUAUAAAAUAAUACAAAAUAAUUUUAUUUGUAAUUUCGGAUAAGAUUUUUAAUCGUUCUCGUUGCACCACGUAUUAUUAUCCGAAAAGUUAUAAAAUAAUACAAAAUAAUUUUAUUUGUAAUUUCGGAUAAGAUUUUUAUAGAAAAGUAAAAACAUUUUUUUUUUAAAUUUUCAGAUUUUUUUUUCGGAUUUUUUACAAUUUAAAUUUUUUUUAUUCAAAUAAUUAAUCUCUGCCAUUGGAUUUAAAAAAAUUGAAUUCCAACACUCCAGAUUGUGCCACGUGUUACAACGGUAACUUUUCUUAAUUUUAAAACUAUUUUUUCUUUUAUUUAUUUAUUUAUAAAGCAUAUUAAUAUCGACCGUUGAUAUUAAAUAAGAUUUUUUUUAUUUUUUUUACCGUUGAGAUCAAACAGUCCAAGUUAAAGAGCAGUUGAGAUCGAAUGGACCGUGGGAAGCCACAUGGCUUCCCAACGGUAUCAUUUCAGUCUGAAAAGAUGUCGGGCAAUGCGCCCCCACUCGCGAGUGGGGUGCACGUGCAUGACAGAAAAAAAUUAAAAAAUGGCCUGACACCGGGCUGAUGUCAGCCCUGGCAUCACAUCCACUCAAGCUCUCGGGCUGGCAAUUCUUCAUAGGCCUGGAGAUCGGGCCUCCACCUCCGCUUGGGAUCCCUUCACGCUAGAGCGAAUCCACAGGGCCUUGGGCCCUUUUCUCUAGCAUGUCCCCCAAGCAAUCCACCACGGUGGAGUUGCUCUUAGAUCAUAGUAGAUCCUUCGAUUUGGUUUGGUUUUUGUAAAAAGUGUGCCCUUUUGAAGCGGACAAAACCAACACUGAAAGUUUCCCACCCCCCCCCCCCAAAAAAAAACCCAACAUUGAAUGGUUCAGUUUCAGUCGAUUUGAUUGAACCUCAUAACAUUAUUCAAUUUGAUCGACAAUUUGAAAGUGGGGCGGGGCCGAACCGACCCAUGCUCACAUGAAAAUAAUUAUAAUAUGUUGUAUAAUAAUCGAUAUAUGUAUAGUUGCAUAUAAAGUAAAUAAAAUUAUUAACAAUUGUAUUAUAGAGACAAGACUUACUAUUUGAUCAACAACAAGACAAGAUUAUUCCACCUAAAAGUAUUCACUUUGGUUUGAAUUCUUCUUUUCACAACAUAAUGGUCAGAUAGAACCAAAUCAAACCAAAGCGAAUACAUUUAGGUGAAAUAGUCUUGUCUUGUUGUUGAUCAAAUAGUAAGUCUUGUCUAUAUAAUACAAUUAUGUUGUGAAAAGAUAAGACUACUCCAUCAUUUUCAAAUAAAAUAGUAAGUUUUGCCUCUAUAAUACAAGUAUAUUGUUGAUAAAAUAUAAGUCUUGUCUUGUCGUUGAUAAAAUAGUAAGUCUUGCCUCUAUAAUACAAGUAUAUUGUUGAUAAAAUAUAAGUCUUGUCUUGUUGUUGAUAAAAUAGUAAGUCUUGUCUUGUUCUAUCUGACCUAAAAAUAAGACUACUCCAUCAUUUUCAUUGUCCCCAACCUUAUCGUUUCGGUCAGAUAGAACCAAAUGCUACAUUAUUAUAACUUUUAAAAGAUAUUUUUGUUUGUAAUCAUUGAAUUAAAUUUCAAAGACCACGAUUGUCUGCUUAGCUGACUCUAUUUUUUAAGAUCAGGAGAGGAUCCUCUUCUAAUCCGUCCCCAACCUUACCUUUUCGGUCAGAUAGAACCAAAUGCUACAUUAUUAAAAUGUGCAGAUGCAAUUAUUAAUCUCUACCCCAACUAGGUGGAGGUAGAUUUUCCACCCUCCCACUUCCAUUGUCCUCUUGUUUUGUGUGUUAACGGUUAAGUCACUUUAAUAUUUUAUAUUAAUUUUUUUAUAGAGAUAAUAAGACAAAAAUAAAUAGUAAUAUAAAACGUUGAUGUGACUUAACCGUGAUCACACAAACAGAAGGGCACGAAAGGGCACAAGAAGUGGAAGGGCAGACUGCCUCCCAACUAGAUUCCACUAGAUUUGGCUUUCACUGUUGUUAGUCAGAGAGAGACAUGAAACAAGAAUUGUAAGGAGGCAGAUUGUCUGCCAUCCUGUUUUGAUGCAUUCCCCAUUCCCUUUUGUUUGUGCGAUUACGGUUAAACCACGUUAUUAUUUUAUAUUCUUACUAUUUUUUGUCUUAUUAUCUCUAUAAAAAAAUCAAUAUAAAAUAUUAAUGUGGCUUAACUGUGACCGCAUAAAACAGAAGAUGAUGAAAAUAACACCAAAACAGGAGGGCAGACAAUCUGCACUCCGAAUUGUAAACCGACGCUUUUCCAAAUCAAUAAUUAAUUUGGGAGAUCACAGCAGCACGACAAAAUCCUUGUAUACGGGCUGUUACAUACGGCAGCCCCCUAACAGAGGGUGGGACUCACGUCACGGUUGAAGCCCACUUCCUGUGAGAGAACUACGACAGCCGUAUGCUUGAAUUUUUCGAGCAGCAAGCAUGCAAGUUUUACAAGAAUUACCAUGAAAAUUCAAAGGUACUAACUUUACCACAUCUAAAUAAGUGAAUAAUGGGGUAUUUAAAAAAUACACUCCGACUUCUCGGGCAACCUUCUGUAGAAGUUAGCCAGGAUUGAUGGCAUUUGUUUCCUACGCCGCAACCUGGGGUGCCUCAUCAAGUAAAACCCACCAACAAUAACUACAACCUUCAACGGUGUCACAAACAACAAAAUGGCAACAAAAAGACAGAAUGUGAUGAAUAUAAAAGUGGCGCGAGGAUCCCGCCAACUGAUGAGAAAUUCCUGAAUCCGCUCCCCCAUCGUUGCAACAUCCCCCACCACAGUUUGAAUCCUUCCGGCAAUACUCCUCAAGCGGUCGUACCUCAUCUUCAUUAUUUCAUCGUUUUGUGAAGUUGGAAAUGUGUCAAAUUCUUCAUCAAGCUCAUCAGGGUGCGCAGCGUCUGCAUGUGAGAGCCUUGUGUCCACAUGGAGAGGGUGUCUUGGGCGGUACCGCAAGUUCGAAAUCCCUGUAAGGAACAUGUAUAGGAAAACAGUUGACAAAAUAAGUUCCGGAGUGCACACCAGCAUCACAAACAGGACAUGUACUAGCACUGUUAUAAUGGAACUUCUCCAUGCACAUACUUCAUCAAACCAUUUCAGAACAGAAAUGAACCAGGAUAAAACACCCAUCAUUCUGAAAAAGUUUGCCUUGCUGCGCCUCAGGCUCCAAACAUGAACAUCUGCAGCAUCAGAGUACAUGUAUUCAACUACUUCCUUCCCAAGAGGUGGUUCUACCUGAGCAAGCCUAUCUGCCACCACCAACACAGCUUGAUCCCUCAAUGUGCCUGGCUGCACCUUUACCGAAACGGGUUGAAAGUAAAUCAACAUCAGAUUGGCCAAUGAUAUGCAUGAAAACCUUAUUGCAAGAUGUAAUUCGCCCGUCUUCUUGACACCAGAAGGAGAAAGGGAUAGUAAUGGAUAACAGUGUGUGUACACGCGGUCUGAUUCGAGGGUAGAGAUUCGAAUCCGGACCUUGCCAAUUUCUUUAUCUUUUUUUCCACUUGAAUUGCCAAUCUGCCUGUUAUCAAAAACCCCGACUGUGAGAAUUGAGACAGGAUCAUAUACCUCCCAAGUGUACUGCUCACUGUAUUUUGGACUUGGGCUGUUAGUUAUGGUUCGAGUACGAACCCAUUUGUCGCCAAACUUCGCCACACAAUACGAGUCAGUUGUAGCCUUCCCAGUCUCUGUUUUCAUUGGCAUUAGGUCUUUGGCAUUUAGAACUCCGAGCUCUAAGACACCAACAGGCCGCUGCAGGUCGUUGCAAUAGUUAGAAGAAUCAUCAAGUAAAUGGUACCCUCCAUCUAGACAAACAUGGAGAUGGAUUCUCCUGGAAAACUUAUGAUCUCUAUCUUUCUCCAUGGCAUUUGACAGAGACAUGUCAAGGUUAAACCACUGCCCACAGAUAAUUUGAUCAUCAUCAGCAGAUUCACCGCACCUCUUAACGGAGUUCAAUGCUAUGGAAACUCUUCCUAAUGUCUCCUCUUUGUCUGGACAUACAUGAUCUUCAACAGAAACGAUCAGAUGUUGAUCAUCAAAGGGUUCGGCAGUGACAAACAUAAGUUCCUCAUUCCACAUUGGGUUCAGAGAUUGAACUUCUCUUGUCUUUAAACACUGAUGACCGAUUUGUAUACUUGCGUAUGCAUCUGGGAUUCGAGAUGUGUCAGGUACAACCAAGUCCCGUGCCUCAAUCACCUUUACCCGUACGUACCAUAAUCUUGGUGAAUCGUAAACUUUUGAGCGGACAUGUGUAUAAGCAGCUGAAGACAUAUCAUCAGGAAGAAUUAUAUCAGAAUACCAGGCAUUUGGAAAAGCUUCAUCAGCUUGAGUGCCAUACCAUACAGCAAGCAUUAGUUCCCCUUUCUUCUUCUUCUUCCCAUCCUUGUCUACUAGCUGAUGCCUUUCCGGAGCCACUGGAACUCGAGUCUGAACUUCAUCGAGAGCAAACUGCACAGACCCAACAAAGUCAUCAUUUACAAGUUCAUUGUCUUUGACCACAACAUCCAAAACAGAUGAGUGCAGAUUUUCCUUAAGAAAUGCAAACACCUCAUUCCAUUCAGGGUUCUGCUUUUUCUCCAAACUUCUUGUAAUUCCUUUGCAGUUCCCAACUUUCACUUCCACAUAUGCGUCACGACAAGAAAGGUCGAGGGCCUUCACAACGCGUACAAACAGGUAAUGCAUUGUUUCGACAAGCUCAUGGGUGCUGAUGACUGGACUGUCUCCACGCACAAAUCGCCCACGAACAACCUGCCCCCCUCCCAAGUAAGGACUUGACUCUUUAAGCAGAUAAUCAGACGGUCGAGAUGAAGAACCUGAGUUCUUCGGAGCAACUUUAGGAGGCUCAUGGGAUUCGGACUUCGCCUCAUGGUUCACCGAUGGCUGCGAUUGAUUUGGGUUUGCAAGGUAAGCCUUCAGAGCAAGCUCUCCUCUCACGCGGGAGAAAGAGAAAACACCUCUUUUUUUAAGAGAGUAGAGCGAAACAUGAGCAUCAGAGUAUGGGACAAAUGAUGUCCCAGGCAGACAAACCUUUCCAAGGAAAGUUGUAGAGUUGGCAUUUCCAUUGUGGAAAACAUUGGCCUCAACAACGAGGUCACGCAGGCGGUUUGGAUCGGAGACAUCAAAGAAGAUGGUUUCAUUCCAAACAUGAUUGACAUCUCUUGCUUUUGUGCUGGUUCGGGCUCUCUGACGAUCGAACAGGAACUCCACAUAAGCACUGGUUGUGCUUUGUCCAUGUCUCAGCAUAAGGUUAUGGGCACUCACAACCUCCACCGCUAACUUGAGGUUACUCAUUCCUGGAUUCGAAGUCAACGAAGAAUAGCAAGAAAAUAAGUACCAGAGAGAGAGAACCAAAAAGGUAGCUGAAAAUUUACAGAUAAUGUUAAAUGCAUGAACAACGAAAAACAGAACCACGUGGUAAAGGUCGAUGACAGAUGGAUGGCACUAUAGUCGUUUAUGAAUAAACAGAGUCAAGAAAAGUGGGUGGAGAUUAGUUUACAAAUGUAGAAAAAGCCGUAUAGAGAAGAGCAGGCCGGGAAGGGAUCCCCAUUUCUUAGAAAAUAAAAUAAAAUGGGGAACCUUCAUCACCGUUAAAUUUAACUUUAAUAAAAUUAUAUGGUUAAAAUUAAACCACAAGAAGAAAACAUAUAGUCUCCUUGUUUCUAUUGCUUUGUAAUUUCUGUUAAUGAGAGAGAUUAAUGUUACUGUUACUGUUCCUAGGACGCACACUUAACGAACCUUGUAAAUAUUAUUUCUUAUUUAUUUAUAUCUCAUUACACACAUAUCCUCAAUUUCACAACAAACCACAAAAAAAAAAAAACAGAAAAGGGAAUUGGAUCCCCUCCUAAGCAAAUGGUGGGGAUCCUCAUGACCACACAACACAGGAUCCAACGGCUAUAAUUAUUAUAAUUCUUAAAAGGAUCAUCUAUUUAUAACUGUUGGAUCAAAAUCUAACAACCUGUGUUGUGUGGUCAUGAGGAUCCCCACCAUUUGCUUAGGAGGGGAUCCAAUUCCAAAAAAAAAUAUAUUCCCAAUAAUUUAUGUGCUACCUACUCCUACAUCGGCCUCCCUUAUCAAUCAUGGAGCUGCGUACCCUACAGAGAGAGAGAGAGAGAGAGAGAGAGAGAGAGAGGGAGAGACUGCUUCAAUGGUCUGAGAAAGCAAAAAAGUUCAAAAGAAUAAUGUAACCUGAUCAGUGUCCGUAAAAGCAAAUUCCUCUACUCUUUCUUCUCCUUGAAUAUUUCAAUUUGUUUCUCCUUGCACUCACUGCAAAUUGAGCAAAUCCGUUUUCUUUAAACCAAAGCUGCUGCUACAUCAAUUCGCGGCCGCCGGAGAAGUCAUGGAUUUGAACCCUGCUGGAGAUCGAGGUUCGAAUUAUUUUGAUAAAGUUCUGUCUAUGGUUAGUUUUGCAUACAAUAAGGAGAGAGCAACCAAUUCCUCGCCAUUCAUUGAUUCCAUUCUCCACAAUGCUCACUUCCUUGUCUUUUUUGCUGUGUAUCUUAUUUGCCGUUAUGUAAAUCACAUAUCACUGUAUCAAGCACUUGUUUGUGUCGGCCUUACCCCAUUGUUUCUCUAUUUCUACAUCAACUAUGCGCCGUUUCUGUUCUUAGAGGAAGACAUCAAGUGGAUUCGAAGAGAGUCGAGGUUACUGCAUGCCAUCGUUGAGGAUGCAGAGAAAAUCAUGCAUUAUAGUGGUCUUAUAGGCGCAAGAGCACGCAAAAUCUGGGAUUCUAAUCCUGAUGGAGCAACCGUGAAAGGAGUUGAUGAAACUGAGGUUGCAUUGUUGGAUAAAGCCAAAUCCAUGGCUUUAAGAGCAAAAAAUUUGGUUGCGACCUUUGAGAAACAGAGGAUCGCAAGAGACUCCCACACCCAAAGAUUAUGUUUCGAUAUGAUCACUGAAAAUUUCCAGCAGGUAUCAGAGCUGUUCACAGAAACUAAGACUGUUAAGCAGGGCAUGAAGGAUAUCUUUGAGGGGAAUAAGGAUUACUGGAUUGGCAUUGGCGAAUCUCUGGAGAGGUCAAGGUCCAGUAUUAUAAGCCUGCUGCCCAGGCCCGUGCAUGGACAUGGUCAACAAAAAUGGGUGCAGUCCAAAGAACAAGUUUCCUCAGCAGCUGCUUUGGCGUCCACUGUCGAAGAGAACAUAAAACGUCUCAUCACUCAAAAGCCAGAUUUAAUGCGUAAAGAUACCGGAAAGCAAAUAAUUUCAAUAAACCUGCAACUGCAGCAACUGCAUCAUUUUCUGAAAGAUGUACAAGGAAUUCGAUUCGAAAGUGAAAUUGAAGGGGCCUGGGUGAAGGAAGUGCACGAGAUGAUUAAUGAAGCACAUCAUGCCAUUGACAAGUACUUGCAGAGAAUUAGGUGGCUAUCAUUUAUCAACAAUUGGAAGGCCGGGAGAAAGCUCAAGGGGGACAUAAGGUGUAUACACGUUGGGUUCACACAACUCUUAGAAAGGAAAGAUAGUUAUGGCUUCAAGUUUUUAAGAAGAGAUUCAUCAAAAUUCGUCUAUCAGUCCCCACAUCAGACUCAAGACGACUUAAUUAUUUCAACUAGAUUAAGCAGGAUGCAGGAGUUCCUCAGUAAGAAGUCACCUUUAUUGGGUGAAGUAUUUUAUGAAGUCACUUCGUUGUGCAAUCAAUUGGAAAGAAUGCAUAAACUCGUACUUGGCGCAUCAGUAACAGGAGGAGGAUAUAAUUCCAGAAUGUCUUGGUUGGAGCAAACCCGGAAAAUUUUUGAUAGUGCAGAGAAAUCUUUGACUACCUUUCAGUGGAAUUCACUCAAUAUGUGGCAAAACCCUCUAUUUAAAACAAGUGCUGGGAGGAAACUUUCCCGUGACAUUGACCUCAUAAAUCAUACUAUUGAUCUUUUCUUGAAAUGCAUCAGAGCAUAUGACAUUGAAGUAAGGGAAGAGUCAAACUCAGUGGUUGGUUUGGAAGAAGACACUGAAGCAGUGGUCUCACAACUGACAACCAACAACGAACACCGCUCGGUGAUUUCCAUUGUGGGGAUUGGGGGCAUAGGAAAGACAACACUGGCAAAGAAGAUUUAUGACAAUGGAGUUGUUGUAGACCAUUUUCCUUGCCGUGCCUGGGUUUCUAUACCUCAGAAGUCUGAUAACAAAGCACUUUUGGAAGAUGUGGCAGAGCAGGUAUUGAGGUCUCUUCAACUACAAGGGGAAAAAAAUCGCAAUGGAUCCUGGAUUCAUAAGGCGCAUGAUGUCUUGAAAGACAAAAGGUACCUUUUAGUUCUUGACGACAUCUCGACGGUAGAAGAAUUGGAGACCCUGAAAGCAGAAUUUCCAGUAACAUCAUCUGGAUGCAAAAUUCUGCUCACUACACGUGACAACAUUGUGGCUUCACAAGCAGACGCUCCCCACCAACUUCGACUUCGAACCAAAGAAGAGAGCUGGAAGUUGUUCACCCAGAUGGUGCACUUUCCGCCAACAGAGGAAUUACUAGCAAAAGAUAUUUUAGAUAAAUGUGGGGGUUUACCACAAGCAAUCUUCCAUGUUGGAUAUCUGAUGUUAGGGAAAGAUGCGAGCGUGGCUGAGGAGGUCAAAGGGGUGCUUAGAUACAUCAAACAGAAUGAUGCACCAUUGUUAGAAACCUUCACUAUAAGGUCCAUUCACUCGUCUCCUCAUCUAAGAAACUGUCUUUCUUACUUCAAACUCUUCCCCAACAACUUUGAAAUUCCGGCAAGGAGAUUAACCGCAUUGUGGAUUGCAGAAGGUUUGGUAGGAGAUCAGGAGACGGAAGAAACUGGCAAAGAUGUUGCAGAUAAGUAUUUGUCCGACUUGAUCCACCUGGACAUGAUUCAAGUAGUCAAAAGAAAGCACAACGGAGAAGUCAAGACAUGUCGAUUGCCAUAUGCUCUACAGAAAUUUGAGUUGCCAGAUAUGAGCCAAGAAAGACUUACUGAUCGUUAUAACAGAAGCGACGAGACAUUUACUCUUAUUCAUGGUGACAGCUCAAACGUUCCAAUUCCUGAUCUCGUUUCCAUCCUCUCCUUUGAUACUCGAGAAGGAAAUAAACCUGGAGAAGAAAUAGGCAACUUUCUACGAAGAGGCAUCGCAGGUGGUUUCUUCCAUCGGCUACAGGUUCUUGAUCUCGAACGUGUAUUCAGACCUGAAUUGCCCAAUACCAUAGGAAAGCUAAAAGAGUUGAGGUAUCUUGGUUUGAGGUGGACUUUCCUGGAAUCAGUCCCAGCAUCCAUAGGUGACUUGCUGAACCUCCAAACCUUGGAUGUGAAACAUACAUAUGUGCACACUCUCCCUGGUUCAAUAUGGAAACUGCAGACACUUCGACACUUGUACUUGAACCAGAGUAAACAGAGUAAAUUUAAGCAUCAACAAGGUGGAAGUUCCCUGAAGAAUCUGCGGACAUUAUGGGGAGUAUUUCUGGAUAAAGAUAGUCCCUUGAUCCACUGGAUGGACAAGCUGAUAUACCUCAGAAAAUUGGGAUUGGCAUUCCAGUUAAGCCAGCCAGAGCAAAAACCAUUAGCAGACAAGAUUGUUAAGCUGAAGAGCCUUCGGUCUUUGAGAAUGAGAUCAAUCGAUGAAAUGGGUGAACCCAGUGAUCUAGUCUGCGUGUGCUUAUCAGGCCUUGAGAGUCUCUCCUGCCUAAAUUUGUUCGGAAAGCUAAAUCCUUCCAUGAUAGAUGAAUUCCCAAAAAAUCUCACUGAUCUUACGUUGUCAGGUGCUUCUCUGUCAGUUGAUCCAAUGCCCGUGUUAGAGAAUCUCUCCAACCUGAAAUUCCUCAGUUUUUACUCCAACUCUUAUACAGGUAUCAAGAUGGUUUGCUCCACCACAGGGUUUCCAAAGCUUGUGGUUUUAAAGUUGUGGAAGCUCCAACAACUAAAAGAUUGGGAUGUGGAGGAAAAGGCAAUGCAAAAUCUGAGGGAGUUGGAGAUAAGAGCGUGCACAAAUUUGAAGGUCCCAAGUGGGUUGAGGCACUUGAAGAAUCUCACUCAGCUGAAAUUAACUAAUAUGCCGGAAGAAUUUGUUGCAACCAUUGCGACAACUAAGGUGCAAAUUUGGGAUGACAUAACUCACUCGCCAACAGUCAUUACCGAUAGCUGGUAGUCUAUGCGGAAUUAGUCACAGGCUCUCUCUCCAGUAAUCGGGUAUGUUUUGGUUUUUUUGUACUGUGUUUAUGUGUACAAGUACUGCGUAAUGAUGCUUGUUUUCUACAUGGAAAUCAUGUUCUAGAUCGAGUGACGCUCUUACUGGUUUAUUGCUUUCAGGUAACAUCGCCCAAUGCAUUUGACGCAUAGGGAACCUGACAGCCUAGUCCAUGUUGAGUUGCAACGGGUGAUAGGUUCUUAUGAACAUGUUCAAAUUUCCUUCAACAAAACUGGGUUUGUAAUGUAAUUAUAUCUUAAGGAAUUGUUGACGUUUGUGUUUAGUACUUGAUCACUGAUUUGCUAAGUUUUCGUUUUGUUAUUUGAUAGUAUGGAUGUUAUAAUAACAGUCACUCCCACUCUUUGUUUUCUUUGAUCAUAUAUUGAUUAUUAAAUACUGCAUUUUCCUAUUUAAAUGAUCGAUCCGAGUUAGUGCUCAUCUUCCUCCUUUGCAGCUUUGCUUCAAGGGAUAAUCUGGUACUGCAUAAUUAAUUUUUUUACUUAAUUAGUGCUAAGUAAUCUAAGAGGUCGCACUUGGUGCGAUGGUAAGUGCCUUCGCUCAUGAACGGUAAGUCUCGGGUUCGAGACUUGGGAGCAGAGCCUCUCCAUAAAUAGGGGUAAGGCUUCACCUCUCCCAGACCAUGCGUGCACUGGAUACGAUCUUUUUUUUUAGUGCUAAGUAAUCUCACAGUUAGUUUAAUUAGGGUCUGUAAAUUAGUGUUAAUAAUCUAACAAUUAGUUCAUUCGUAGAAUAUAGGAUAGACUACUUUCCCCUCUUGAUCUUCUCGGCACCUCGUGAUCAUCGAUAGCUCCCUCAGGCAAUAUCGGGACUCCGCGUAACUCUUUGAGAAGACGACGACCGCGAUCCUCGACCCUUCGAUUUCUCGGUCAAGUUCUCUCUGUAUAUUCUCCCCAUUUCUGAGCUCGUAGUCUAUAAAUGUGUUGAUUUCGGCACUGCUUAACGCAAUGAGAGGUGGUCUGUGAACCCAGUGCGUGUGUCCUCGCCUCUAAAGCUCAGGAACACCUCGUAGGUUUGAACGCCGAGAGGAAGACGAACCGGCGGCGGCGGCGGUUGCAAGGGCGAGGCUGCUGGUAUUCAUUGAUUUCAAGCAAAGAAGUGAAACUCCUGAUCGUUUCCCAAGAUUCCUAGCGAAACUCCUGAUUAAUGUUUUGGAUCGUUGGAAGAUGUGAGAGCAAAAAAUAAUGAAGAAAGUAGAGGGAGAGAAGAUGCAAGAUGCGGCUGAGUAAGAAAAUAUGGGAGGGAGAAAAAAAGGGUUUUUAUCACAAAUGGUCCCUGACAUUGAUCAAACACAUCAUUUUGGUCCCUGACAUUGAAAAUCAAUAGAAAUGGUCCCUUACAUUGAUCAAACACAUCACAAAUGGUCAUUCCGUUAAAAACUUUUUGGGCAAUUUUCAAAGCUUCGUAACUCAAUCGUUUUUUAACCAAAUUCGACCUAUGAUAUAUCAAAAUGAAGAUAGGAAAGUGUAGAACAAGAUUAUAUCUAUUUGGAAGCCCAAUGGUUGCCGAAGAUGGCCGGAAAAUAGCCUCAAAUGUGUCUGGUCCGCGAAAAAACUGGAAAACUCGCCUGAAAUGGGGUAAACUUUAAACAUUCAUAACUUCUUCAAUACUCAACGAAAUUGAGUGAUUCAAAAAUGAAAAUCAUACUUCUCAAUGAGACAAAGAGAAUGGUACCUUUAUUGACUGAUAAUUUACUGUGGUUUGACAGGAAAAUGGCUCGAACUUGGAUAACCAUUUUCGAGUUAGCCAAUUUCGAGUCUUUUUCCGGCCAAACUACGAUGAGUUAGCCAUCAAGAAAGAUACCAUUCUCUUAGUCUCGUCGAGAAGUAUGAUUUUCGUUUUUGAAUCACUCGAUUUCAUUGAUUAUUGAAGAAUUUAUGAAUGUUUAAAGUUUACCCAAUUUCAGGCGAGUUUUCCAGUUUUUUUGCUGACCAGUAACAUUGGAGGCUAUUUUCCGGCCAUCUCCAUCAACCAUUGGGCUGCCAAAUAGGUAUAAUCUUGUUCUACACGUUCCUAUCUUCAUUUUGAUAUAUCAUGGGUCGAAUUUGGUUAAGAAACGAUUGAGUUACGAAACUUUGAAAAUUGCCCAAAAAGUUUUUAACGGAAGGACCAUUUGUGAUGUGUUUGAUCAAUGUCAGGGACCCUUUCUAUUGAUUUUCAAUGUCAGGGAUCAAAAUGAUGUGUUUGAUCAAUGUCAGGGACUAUUUGUGAUAAAAAUCCGAGAAAAAAAUAACAAAAACUGGGAUUGAAAAUUUGAGUUUUAACGAUAAUGACAAAAUAAAUGGUAAAAUGAAUAAUAUCAGGUUUAAUUUUUUAAUGUAAAAAUAUGGUUUUUUGUUAAAAUGAACAGUACCGUGAUCUUUUCGUUAAAAUUCUCAUAAUAAUAUGCCCGCAUUUGUAGUAAGAAGGCUUUUCUUAACAGACCUAGCUUCUCUGUCCUCUCACUUUUCAUAUACUCUCAUCCCCUCUUAUUUGUACGGUCACGGUUAAGUCACGUUCACAUUUUAUAUUACUAUUAUUUUUUAUCUUAUUAUCUCUAUACAAAAAUCAAUAUAAAAUGUUGACAUAGCUUAACCGUGAUCGCACAAAAAGAUGGUGAUGAAAAUGUAUUGAAAGUGGAAGGGCAGAGAAGCCGGAUCCUUUCUUUACAUGGACUUGAUUGAUUAAGUCUAAUCUACCAAUAUAUUAUAUUUAAUAGGCCUUAUUAUUCUUAGAGGUUGUCAUUGUCGACGGCAACGCGAUCAUUAUUCAAAGCAUAAUCAGUUUUUAAUUAAGGUGGAUCAGCUGUUCUUAUUGGUUUGAAACAUUCAAACUAUUAAAAUAUAAUAUAGUUUUGAAUAAUUGCUAGUGGACGUAUUAAACGAGAGUGCGAGAGGCACGAUAACGAUUCUUAUUGAAAAAUUUAAUCCAUAACACAUGAUGCAAAUUAAUUAAAUACAUAUUCAUAUAGGCCAUGAAAUUUAUAAAUCAAGACGUGCUCAAUUAUCAAAUUUAUUAAAAAUUUCUAAGUACCUCAUUAUUUUGUUUGGAUUGAUCAGUUGACCCGAUUAAAAUGCCCACCCUACUUGGGAACCUGCAUUUACAUCGAAUAUGAGAACUUGGCUAGGUCUCGUCCAUGUCCUUAGUACAAUUAUCCAUUAAUGGUCAUAUAUAAUGUAAUGGCAUUUUUUUUUUGAACCAUCAUAUUUGACCAUCAAUAAAUGAUUGCAAUAAGUACUUCAAUCCCUAGCUAAUAUUAUUAAACUCGAAUCGCAACGUUUACAUCGAAAGUCAGAGUAUUAAACAACUCUUGCUCCACGGCUACCUAGUGUCCCCAUUAAAAUUGAAAGAAGGCUAGAUGUGCUCUUAGCAAAUUAUUAUUGGCACUUCAAAAAUCUCAUUUGCACUCCAAACUUUCUAUAAUUAGAAAGAAAAAUGUACUUGUGAGGAUUGUAGAAUGAGAUUGUUGAACUGCUAAUAACAGUUCCCUAAAUAAAUAAAUAAAAGUAAGAUAUAUUCGGUUCGGUUUUAGAAUCAUUGAAACCGAAACCAAACCAAAUGAUUUCGGUUCGAUUCGAUUUUUUGUUCAAUUCGUUUUUUAGGUUUCGGUUCAGUGUUCCCUUCAUUUUUUUUCCUAUUUUUAAUCCACCCUUAGUUCACGACCUUAUUCUAUUUUAAAGGUGGUGUACAGGUUGGUUCAACUGAUGUUGAUGGACGUCAUGGGUUUAUGAACAAACAUAACAAGGUUGCACUGGACAUAGACAAGGUUGCAUUGGACAUGGCACAUGUUUGUGGGUUUUGCAUUGAUUGAAUUGUAUUUUAAAUGCAGACAGAUGAGCCAGAGUUUGGCAAUCAAUGCUCCAAUUAGGACAAAGUCUGAGGACCAAUUCUAACAUUAACAAAAUAUAAUAUGCUAACAUUAAAAUAUAAUCAUAAUGAUUCACAUGUGAUGAGUUCAUAGUCACGUGAUGUUUUAAUAUUGUAUGUAUAAUUUUUUUAAAGACAUCACGUUACGAAGGCCGUUUCAGUUGAAGAGCUUUGCAAAACCUUUAGCAUAGAAUGGAAAAAUGACCAACCAAUGUUGGAGAUGAUUUGUUGGGAUGAACUAAAUAUAACUAUAAAACAGGUAAAAGGCAGUAGCCUAGCGAAGUGCGUGCUACUGCUUUUUACUAUAUUUUUUUCGUAAUAGGAAAAAUGGGCGGUGGAAAGAGGAUGAGAGCCUACGGACCCUAAUGAGCUUGACCACUGGUUUGAUUGAUGGCUAAUAAUUAACAUCUCAUUUUCUAUGAAUUCUAGCACAAUUAGGGUUGAUAUAAGUUAAUGCAAAAAAGUGUGAGCCUAAGAUUUUGGAUUGGAAAAUACAAAAGAUUCUUGAAUAAAAGGAAAAUAACGUAUUUGUCAUGGGUUGUGCGUUCUUUUAUAUCUGUCAUUGACGGAUUAGUCGUCGUUAUCACCAAAUUCAUAUGGUAUAGUAUGAUAGUCGUCGUCACCACCAAACACAUAUGGUAUAGUAUGAUAGUCCUCCUCAUUAGUGUUACCAGGCUCAUAUAAUGUACGCUCAUAAUGCACCUUAUUCACUCAUGAACGUAAAAACUAUAGGAAAAUAAAAAUCGGUAGAGAGUAAGAGAAUUAGUGAAAAAGAAAGAGAGUGGUAGUUUGCAAAAAUGACUUAAUGGUCUGUCUAUUCACAUAACUAUGAAUAUUUUAGUUGAUUUUGUACACACAUUUAAGUGAGUUAUGUAUCUGUUGAAUAGUUUAGAUUCAUAAAUCUGGAUUUUCUUAAUUCUUAAAAUUGGUAUCUUAAUUUGAUAAAAUGUGAAGCAUUUAUCCUUCACACAUUCAUAACAAACGAAACAUGUAACAUACGUUUCAUUUGCUUAAUUCUGCCGACAAUUCUCAUGCAAAUGCUACAAGUUUUAUAAAAUUCUAUACAUCUCGUCAAAUAGAGAAAAAAAACACACCACACAAGGGAAAAAAACGAAGAAAACCCACUUGGUUGGAUUCGACACAUGCAACAUAUAGCCACAACAAGUGUGACCACUACCGAAACUCGAUCUGGUUAUUUUGGGUGACCAAGUGGUUCUUCUGCAUCAAAAGGAGGGAAGUCCUUGCUAAUCUGCUUGCAUCAUGUAACAGCGGGAAAUCAGUGGCGCAAUUGCACUCUCAAACCCUCAAAGCCGGCCUUUUCCAAUACGGCUUCUUUUCCACAAAACUCAACGCUCUGUACGCAAAGUAUGAGUCCCUCGUCAUGCCCGCAAGGUGUUCGACGAAACGCCCCACAGAACUGUCUAUCUCUGGAACGCCACCCUUAGGAGCUCCUGUAGAGAGAAUUGAUGGGAAGAGACCUUGUGUCUAUUUCGUAACAUGAUACCCGAGUCAAGAGGCAAUGAUGAAAAGCCUGAUAAUUUCACCAUUCUCAUUGCUCUGAAGGCGUGUGCGAGGUGAAGGGCACUGGUGUGUGGAAAAAUAAUACAGGGUUUGUGAAGAAACAUGAGAAGGUAGCAUUGAAUAUGUUUGUGGGUUCUGCGGUGAUUAAAUUGUAUUCCAAAUGUAGAGAAAUGGGCGAGGCUGUGAAAGUGUUUGAUAAGUUUCCUCAACCGGAUGUGUUUUUAUGUACUUCUAUGGUUACUGGAUAUGAGCAUAAUGGUGAUCUUGAACAAGCACUGGAGUUUUUUCUCCCGAAUUGUGAUGUUGGGGCUCAUUAAUCCUGACCGAGUGACGCUUGUUAGUGCUGUUUCAGCUUGUGCACGGUUAUCAAAUUUUAGAAUUGGAAGUUGUGAGCAUGGUGUUUCUAUUAGGAACGGAUUCGACUCUGAUUUAUCUUUAGGUAAUGCGUUGCUAAAUCUCUAUGCAAAGACGGGUUUGGUCAAAACUGCCACUAGGUUGUUCACAAAGAUGCCGGAAAAAGAUGUGGCUUCUUGGAGCUCCAUGAUUGCCUGUUACGCUCAUGAUGGGGAUGUAACAUAAGCGUUAAAUCUUUUCAACGAAAUGAUUGAUAUGAGAAUUAAACCUAAUUCAGUGACUCUGGUAAGUGCGUUGCAAGCAUGUGCACUGAUGAGUGCAUAUUUUACCAUUUAUUUUAGCCCAAAAGCUACAUUUUCUUGUGACAUUUUAGACUUAAAUGAAAGGAAUAACAUGGUUUUGUGUUUUUAUAAUUAAAUUAAUGAGUUGCAGAAAAAUCAUGUUAUAAUUCCAUGGUUUUAAUUUAAUCAUGUGAUCUUAUUCUAAUUUAAAUUUCUAUGCCUACGGCCUUUGAUUGAAGUAUGUAGGCUAUUUGGUUUCAGAAUAUACAAUUGGCUUAAAUUGACUAAUCUUGUAAUUUAAUUGCAGGUCACGAAUGAGUAUUAAGUUUGGUGAGUUAUGGGGAAGAAAAGAAAAACACAACAACAAAAUGAAUCAAAUAAAAUGAGGGCAAAAUGAGGGCAACAAGGGGAGUGGACGAAAGGUGAAAGGGGAAAUUAGUUUCUUUGAAAUGGGGUGGGGGGAGACCGAGAGAGGAAUAAACACGACACACACUUGCAUGUAAAUUUCUCUAAUGUCAUUAAUGAAUCAAAUAAAAAAUUAUUAAUUUAUUUGAUAAGAAAAUAAGCUACUUAUAUGUUUAAUUAAGAACUCGUUUGGCAUUGCUUCGCUAAAAACGCUUCAGCUAAAAGUGCUUUUAUUAUAUCCACAUUGAAACUCUUAUUAAAAAUUCAAGUGCUUUCUAAAAAAGACACUUUGGAAUGCUUUCUUUCAUUUCCCAAUUGUUUCUUCUUCAUCGUCAAAGCUUUCGAUAUUGAGAUCAGAUAACCUCAAAUCUUUUGCAAGGUUGGACCUCAUCAGAUGAGUAAUCGCUUAACUCUUUAUCGUCGUCAGAGGCCUCCUCAUCAGACUCAUAUGGUGCAGUCUGAUAGUCCUCUUCCUCAUCAGACUCAUAUGGUGCAGUCUGAUAGUCCUCUUCCUCAUCAGUAUCUUCAUCAGACUCGUAUGGCACACGAUCAUAGUCCACAUAUUUCCAAUCUGAAUCUGCAAAUUCCCAUUCUACGAUAUCCACUCCUGUUUUCUUCACCUUAAUUUGUUGAUCAUCCUCUGUUUCAAUAAAGUCUGCAUGCACACGAACCUUGUCGCCACCUUUCAGAUUGAGCUUCUUGUUCGUAAGAUUUCCCAGCCAAAGAUAACAUUCAUGGGAAGCAGUUACGGUGGUCACCAAUGGCCAAAUGUGAAAACGAGUUCGCUGGGUACGAUUAACAACAUGAAUGCAUAAGGACCCAGUACAGUCUGAGUUGUCCGAAGAAUAAAUGAUGCACACAACCAACCCUCCUAUAUAAUCAAAAGUAAGCGGCAUUUCAAUUUCGACAGUUUCAUCCUGUCGCGCUACAUAGGGUAACCGGCGAGGAAUAUCAUUUACAGAGAGAGAAAGUCCACCAAUUGUAUACCCCUUCCAUUUCUACAACACGAGGUGCAAAGUUAGUAUAACCAACAAUACGAAAAUCAGAGAGGGAGAGCGAAAGUUCCAUACCAAUAGGAUGUUCUCCUUAAAAGUAGCAGUGAGACUGGUGCACCCUUCCAUAUAAAGGGUAUGCAUGUUGCAGAUGAAGUUAUCCAGGUUUGGAAUAUCUUUGAGUUUGCGGCAGUCUUUCAGUUGCAAUUCAAUCAUUUCCGACAUCUCUGGAAGGUCGGGCAUAAUUUCCAGUUCCGUGCAGUAACUCGCUUCCAGAUUAAGCAAACUUGUUGGCAAAUCUGGGAUUGCCUGAAGGUUUGUGCAAUGAUUUAGAUACAAAGAUGUAAGCUGGGAAAGGCCACUGAGGAUGGGUAGCCUAUUAAAACCAUUUCCAUCUAGUACUAAAAUCCUUAA
rnacentral:lncRNA from 1 species